ACAAAUCCCAAGCUCGAUCGGAAAGUUGACAUCAUUGAUUGAGCUGCAUUUGAAAUCUACGGCCAUUGAAGAGUUGCCUGAAUCCAUUGGUUCUUUGAACAAGCUCAAGACUCUAGAUGUCUCUUAUUGCAAAUCGUUAGCCCACAUACCCAACUCAAUAGGCAAUUCAACAUCUCUGUCUCGCCUAGACCUAACAGAAUGCCAUAAACUUGCUCAACUUCCAGACUCUAUAGGCUCCUUUGUGUCUCUACAGCGGUUGUUAUUGUCGGGAUGCCACUCGUUGAGACAAAUCCCAGACUCAAUCGGAAAGUUGACAUCAUUGAUUGAGAUGCAUUUGAAAUCUACGGCCAUUGAAGAAUUACCUGAAUCCAUUGGUUCUUUGAAGGAGCUCAAGACUUUAGAUGCCUCUUAUUGUGCAUCGUUAGCCCGCAUACCCAACUCAAUAGGCAAUUCAACAUCUCUGUCUUGCCUUGACUUAACAGAAUGCCAUAAACUUGCUCAACUUCCAGACUCUAUAAGCUCCCUCGUGUCUCUACAGCGGUUGUUAUUGUCGGGAUGCCACUCGUUGAGACAAAUCCCAGACUCGAUCAGAAAGUUGACAUCAUUGAUUGAGCUGCAUUUGAAAUUUAAGGACAUUGAAAGAUUACCUAAAUCCAUUAGUUUUUUUAAGGAGCUCAGGAUUCUAGAUGGCUCUAUCAUGCAUCGUUAGCCUAUAGAUCUAUUUCAAUAAGCAAUUCAAGACCUCAUUCCCCAACUCAAUAGGCAAUUUAACAUCUCUGUCUCGGCUUGACCUAUGCUACUGUUAUAAACUUGUUCAACUUCCAGACUCUAUAGGCUCCCUCGUGUCUCUACAACAAUUGUUUUUGUCGAGAUGCUUCUCGUUGAAACAAAUCCCACACUCGAUUGGAAAGUUGACAUCAUUGAUUGAGUUGCAUUUGGAAUUUUCGGCCAUUGAAAAAUUACCUGAAUCCAUUGGUUCUUUGAAUGAGCUCAAGACUCUACAUGUCUUUUACUGCCAAUCGUUAGGUCGCAUACCUAGCUCAAUAGGCAAUUUCACAUCUAUGUCUUCCCUUAACCUAGAUGAAUGCCAUAAACUUGUUCAACUUCCAGACUCUAUAGGCUCAAUUGUGUCUCUACAACAGUUGUUAUUAUCGGGAUGCCACUCGUUGAGACAAAUCCCAGACUCGAUCGGAAAGUUGACGUCAUUGAUUGAGCUGCAUUUGAAAUCUACGGCCAUUGAAGAAUUACCUAAAUCCAUUGGUUCUUUAAAGGAGCUCAAGACUCUAGAUGUCUCUUAUUGCAAAUCGUUAGCCCGCAUACCCAACUCAAUAGGCAAUUCAACAUCUCUGUCUCACUUUGACCUAACAGAAUGCCAUAAACUUGCUCAACUUCCAGACUCUAUAGGCUCCCUGGUGUCUCUACAGCGGUUGUUAUUGUCGGGAUGCCACUCGUUGAGACAAAUCCCAGACUCGAUUGGAAAAUUGACAUCAUUGACUGAGCUGCAUUUAAAAUCUACGGCCAUUGAAGAAUUACCUAAAAGCAUUGGGAAUAUGCAAAACUUAAGGAUAUUGGACAUUAGUGGAACUCCCAUAAUAGAAUUGCUUGAUGACCCGGGAAUAUUGGCAGAACUCCAAGAGUUUAGAGCUUCGAGAUGGAAAAAUUCUGAAGGGUCACCUAGUAAUAAUGGCCAAUUGGUUUCACCUAACAAUCUUGGUUUAGACAAGCUUCAAAAACUAUCAGAAUUACGCUCUCGCGUACUAGCGCUAGGUAUAACCUACCAGAUCCCGCAAUCACUGAAUCUAUCCCAACUAAACUUUCUCAAGAAACUUACUCUUUCUAAUUGGCUUGAAUUUCUCCUACACCUUUCUAUAAAACGUUGUAGAAAAGCUGUGAAUCUUGAUUUUGUAUUUUCAAAAGUUCAACCUAUUAGUUGGGCAUUCUAUUUACUUUUUGUCUUGUGAUACAGUUCUCUUAAAGCGUCCUAAGACACCUGCAGCCAACAAUUCAGCCAUGGACUACCAAACAGCAGAUUCUAAACACGUUUUGAAGAGAUCAAGACCUUUUGGAAUCUUGGAUGAAGUACUUGUUUCAUCUUGCUUUUUCUUUAUCAUUCUUUAUUACUUAUAGGAUGGUUCUAUCUAUAAAGAGAAGUAUCUUAUUGGGUGAUCGAUUUUUUAUUAUGUAUGGGACGUUUUUCUCAACAUUCGUAACUAGAUUUGUCAGACUUGUUACAUUUACUUCUUGCUAUUUUAAGUUUUCUCUUCAUGGAAGUAGGGAUUUUCAAUUUUCCUGAAUUAUAAACUUAAGUUGGAAUAUAUUGCCCAUUAUUAUGCGAUUCUCUUUCUUAAUUAUCUUUCUUUGCAUGCCAUUGAAUGAAACCUUUUGAAAGCACUCACCCUUUAAGCUAGCUUUUGGGGUGAGAUAAGCCCAAGACCAUCCAACAAUGAUAAACUUUUAGUUUUGACGUUUCCAGAUACCCUUAACUUUCAUGAUGCACUUAAAGAAAUAAUUGAGGAUUUGAAGGAUUACAAGAAAGUCUGAUGGAGAGAAAAAGGAGCAAAAGGGCUAAGGUUGUCAAUUUAUGUUUGCUUGUCUUAAUUGUGUUUGUUAACUAUGUAAUUCAUCAUGACUUCUAUUAGACAUGUCAAACCAUUGAAUUAGACGAGAGCAUGUAAAUAUCUCUCAACCAACUGGUUAAACGUAUGGUGAGGUGUCAUAUUUUGGUUGUGUCUAUGUUUUUGUGUUUGGUAUUGUCAUGUAAACAAUCGGUGUCAAUAUUGGUAGCAUUAAGGAGGAGUGUGGACUAGGAAGGUGUUGAUUGCAUCUUCUCCCAUUACGCAGGCAUUGUUCUCGCGUAUGCUAGUAAAAUAGUGGCUCUCAUACGAGUUUUGCAUCUUUUGAGUGCCAUGGUUUUUAUCAAUUUUCUAAAGGACUAACUAGUUUUGUAAUCUUUAUGAUGUCCUAUUAGGUGAAUAAUUUGUCGGUAAACAUUCUGCCGAUCUCAUACAACUGCCCAAGCCUCAGUCAGAGUUCUUAUUCUUCAAAUGACUUGCCCAGAAAUGUAGUCAUUACCCUAAGUCAAGGUUCACUUGUUAAGAGUAUGGAUUUCCAUCCAGUGCAACAAAUUCUGCUGCUCGGUUAGCACUUCUUUCAUACUCUAUGAAGAACAUGUUCCAUGCUUUUCUUCAGUUGGAUAUACUUGUUCCUAUUGGAGGCCAUAAGUUUGUGCUUUGGUUCUUGGAAGAUUGCUUUUUGAUGUUCUUUUGACACUAGCUUCAGCUAUUUUAAACCACGGGCUAUGAUUCUUCAAAUUUUAUGCUUCAAUAAUUUUCAGUGGGAACAGAUAUGGGCAAUGUUAUGGUUUUUGAAGUAGGCAGCGGUGCGAGGAUUGCUUCGAGAAAAUUCAAGGUUUGGGAUUUGGGAACACGUUCAAUGGCGUUGCAGGUAUGGAAGUUGAAUUCUAAAUGAAAUCAUGGCAUCUUGUUUUUGGACAUGUGAUUAUGAAUUUUAAUUCUUUGUAGGCUUCUCUGGCCAAUGACUAUACAGCAUCCAUUAACCGUGUAAUGUGGAGUCCUGAUGGAAUCCUUUUUGGUAUGUACAGAUGUCACUUCUACUUGUAUAUCAACUUAAGAAAUUGGGCAAUACAUACUUGCAAAUUGAUGAAAAAACUAAAGCUCCAAGAACCAGACUUCAUUGCAAUAUUUUUGAGGAAGAAGUGUCCAUAUGUUGCUUUUACUAAUGAUUUAUGGGUUUCACUUUAGGUGUUGCUUAUUCCAAGCACAUGGUGCACAUAUAUUCAUAUCAUGGUGGUGAUGACAUAAGGAACCACCUAGAGGUUUGUUGCUAAACAAGGAGAAAAAAAUUAAGCUUCUCUGUUCUGCUGACAAUUGCCACCUACAUGUGAAUUCAACUUGAUUUUGACUCUAGCUAAUGUCUGAUACAGCUCGAGGCUCAUGUGGAAGUGUUAAUGAUCUGCUUUUCAUAUCCAAACAAACAGUUAUGUGUUGUGACCUGUGGAGAGGACAGGUUGAUCAAGGUAUAUUUUGAUUGUUUUCCUCAGCAUUAUGAUGUUUUGUUGUUUGAUCCCUUUUAACCAAGCUAGUAGUUACGUAGGUAUGGGAUGCAGUGACUGGGGCUAAACAACAGACUUUCGAGGGUCACGAAGCACCUGUAUAUUCCAUUUGUCCACACAAUAGAGAAAAUAUUCAGGUACCUGCUUAUUUCGUGUACUAACAAGGACACGCUGCAAGCAUGGCCAAUUGGCUGUACGCUUGACCAUUCAAUGGACUUUCUUUGCUAAAACUCAGUUAGGUCAAAAAAUUUGAUUCAAUUUGUAUGAGAAGUGUGAAUAUGUGUUCUAACGGACCUUGUUCAUUUCAAAGAUUUUGCAAGUCUUCCGAAUUUUGACCUAUCUUGAUUAGAAUGUGCUUGUUAAACAUGGUGACAUGGUCCAAAGAUUAAAUUGUGAAUUUGAUUAUUUCAGGCGAUGCUACUGAGCAUGGACAACUGGGUAAAGGUUUUCGCAAUAAUGACUUCCUUGUUAACAUAAGUUUAGAUGGAAAAUUGCUUUGCUUCCAUUAUUUGUUCUCCCUUAGUUUCUCCUCUAGUUUUGAUUAGUUAAAUUAAUAAUAGAUUGAUGUUUAUUGUGCCUGGGUGGAGCAGCAAUUGGCGAUGGCUUUUUAAUUUUUUUUUUUAAAUUUAUGAUUGUGUACACUUUAUUAUAAAGAUAUUUAAUGAUAUCUAUUAGGGUUUUAGGUGGAUGUGCUCUAUCUGGACAUGUUAUUGAAAUUGAUUGUAGGAUUGUUUUAUUGUGUAGCUCAUCUUCUCAAUAGCAAUAGAUGGGAAAAUUAAGGCUUGGUUUUAUGACAACAUGGGGUCAAGAGUUGACUGGGAUGCACCAGGUCACUCUUUUACCAAGAUGGCAUGCAGUGUCAAUGGAAAAAGGUUCAGACCAUCAGCAUUGCAUUUCAAGCUUGAUUUUAUCCCGUGUCAUUCUUUAUGACUGAAAUAACCUAUUUUAACAAUUUUAUUUGGCUAUAGGUUGUUCUCAUGUGGAACCAAUAAAGAAGGAGAGUCAUACUUGGUUGAAUGGAAUGAAAGUGAGGGGGCUAUCAAACGUACUUAUCAUGGACUUGGAAAGAGAUCUGAUGGGUUUGUGCAAUUUGAUAUCGCUAAAAACAGAUUUUUGGUUGCUGGAGACGAGUCCAUGGUCAAAUUUUGGGAUAUGGACAAUAACAAUAUUUUGACAAGUAUUGAUGCUGACGGUGGAUUGUCGGUAAUUCAUUAUUGUUAAUUUAAUCCAAGUGAAUAAGCUGAACCUUUCCAUUAAACUCGCUCUUUAAAUUUGCAGGCUUCACCUUGCAUUAGAUUUAACAAGGAGGGAAUUCUAUUAGCAGUCUCAACAAAUGACAAUAGUAUCAAAAUUUUAGCAAAUGUUGAUGGGAUUAGGCUGCUAAGGACAAUGGACAGUUGGCCUUUUGAUGCUCCUAGAAUCACUCUGGGACCUCUUAUGAAGGUAAGCUUUUUCAAGCUCACACUAGCUUCAUUGAGAAGAGCUCGCUAAAUGUCGUCAAUCUUGUACUGCCACCAAUGAUUGUGAUAUUUAGUUCUGGUAAUGCUACUAUUGGGGCAAACCUAGGUAAUAGAGGGGUUCCGGUGGCAAAAUUAAAAUGUUUGAUCCAAUUUCCAGUGCAUUUGAUAGAGAAGUCUAGAAAAAUCCAAAAAAUAAAAUAAAAUCUCACAGGAUUAUCUAAAGUUUUGUGUGGAAAAAUCCGUAAAAAUUAUCUAUGUAGUGUGGCGGAGACACUUGCCUUAUAAAUAUCUCUGACUCAAGCAAAUAUUUUUGCAUGUCUUAGCCGCUGAUGCAAUCUUAUGAAAAGGCUUUGGGUCGUCCAAAAGCAAACACAUUUGGGUCUCUAUUUUUAAAAUUUUUUAUUCUCAAAAACUGAUUUGAAAUGAAAAUUCAUUUGAUAAUGUAAUCUUUUUUGAACAAUUUUUUAGUUAAUAAAUAAUUUUGAAAAUAUAUAAGAAUAAUUUUUUUACAUUUCAAAAACAAAAACAAAAAUAAAAUUUUUUCUCAUUACUUGCUUUCGUCAUACGCGACCACCGUCACUCGUCAACCACUCGCCUACUCGUCGCUCUCCACCAAUUGAUAGUCACCGCCUAGAAAUUAUCUUUGCUCAAUUUCUCGUUCAUGGAUUAAAAAUAGAAAAAUUUAUUUGUGAUUAGAAAUUAUUCACAUGAAUUAAAAUAGUUAUCGUUCGUGCCCAUAAUACACCAACUAAAAUAAACCUCUCUACCUUCGUUUGUAUUAUGCAUAGUAUAAUAAAAGCCUUCCUUAUAUAUAUAUAUAUAUAUAUAUAUAUAUAUAUAUAUAUAUUCUUGUGUUCCCUUGCUGCCGCUUUCCGAAAUCCUUGUCCUAUUGUAUUACAUCAGCAGCAACUGUGACUUGCGGAGCAUUUUUUCCUCACGUCCAUCCAGUCAUAUUUUAACACAUCUCUGUGGAUUUUGAAUUAAAAAUAAAAUUCCCUGAUGAUCCAUCGGCCAUGGACCUCGGACUAGCCGGCUGCCACCCUUGAACACCACCGCUCCGGAGGCCGAGCUCCAAAUCUAGCCGAGUCGUGGCCUCCGCGCCGCACCAGAUCUAGUCCACCUUCACUUGCUUCAAGCUCGUCCAUGGCCGCCUCCGAAUCCGGUCGAGCUCGACUCUACGCCAGAUAUCGUCUGCCUUAAAAACGGUUCGAGCUCGGCGGCUCCUCCAUGACCGCCGAGAAGCCGCCGAGAUUUCGGUCACAACGUCGAGCUUCGCAGCCAUAGAAGGCCAUCACCUCCAGAUGUAGAGGCUCAAUGGCAAUGGAGGCCGAGCGUCCAGAUCUGGCCGUGGCGAAGGUCGUGACAUCACCUCGAGCUGCAGCAAUGACCGCCGUUAGAGGUCGCCUUAAGAGACGGCGUUAAAAGUUGCAGACGGCCAUGGACAGAGCGUGUAACAAGAAAGGAGACAAAAAAAAAAAUAGAAAAGAAAAGAAGCAAAGAAUGGUGGGGAACAAUAAGAAAAAGAAACAUCUUUUCCAACUUUUCAACAGCAUCAUCGGCAUGAGCCACGCCGACGACCAUGGACGGCCAGAUCUCGAGAGCCAACGGUGUCGCUGGCCAUGGCGGAGCAAGGUUCGUGUGUGAUGCCGACGGCCAUGGACGGCCAAAUUUGGAGAGCCAGCGGCGUCACUCGUCUAGGUGACGCCCAUGGCCAUGGUCGGCCAGAUCUGAAGAGCCAGCAGCGUCACCGACGCAUCAUCGGCCGUGGCAGCUCGUCCGAGGUCAAGUGGCUGGCUUUGGACGAACGAGGAAGAUGAAGCUAGAGGAAACAGUUCCACCACUCAAAGAAACUCCACAUCAAUAUUUUUUAAUUUAAUUCAAGACACGUAAUAAACUUUUUUAAGUGGAUAUCAAGGAAAAAAUGCUCGCCCCAUCAGCUGACGCGGGGCUGUGAAAUCACUUAAUAUUUUCCCCUUUCCUCACACAUCUACACACAUGGCACAUAAACUAGAAAACCAUCGGGCAGCAAUGGUAGGGAUGGUAAGUGGUAUCAUUACUGCAUUAGGUCGUUAAAUUUUUAUAAGGAGCUUUAUUUGUUGCUUAUUUUAUACUUAAAUGAUGCAAUAAUUGCAUUUGUAUGUGCAUAUUAUUGGACGUCUUUCAAUGACAACCUCUCUUUUGAGCUCUACAGAAGCCCAGAAUUGCCGAUGACUCGACAGACAAAUCACGAAAUUGGAAACUGACAGAAAUCAACGAACCAUCACAAUGCCGGUCCAUAAGGCUGCCUGAUAACUCUACAGCUACGAGGGUACAAAUGACUGCCAAAAUAGGAUUUUUCUCAUGUAAAUUUUUAAGUGGAUGUCAAGGGAAAAAUCUCGCCACAUUAGCAGUUAACACGGCGCUUUGAAACUGCCAAAUAUUUUCUCCUUUGCUUCUCGCACAUCUACACGCACUAGCAUAUAAACUAGAAAACCAUCAGGCAGCAAUGGUAGGUAUGGGAAGUGGUAUCAUUACUGCAUUAGGUAGUUAAAUGUUUUUAACCAGCUUUAUUUGUUGCUGACGCUGUUAGUUAAAUGAUGCGAUAAUUGCAUUUGUAUGUGCAUGUUUAUUGGGCGUCUUUCAAUGACAUCCUCUCAUGUGAGCUCUACAGGACAGUGAGAACAUGGCCGAUGUGAAGCUCGGAAUUGCUGAUGACUCAGGAGACAAAUUGCGAAAUUGGAAACCGACAGAAAUCAAUGAACCAUCACAAUGCCGGUCCAUAAGGCUGCCUGAUAACUCUACGGCUGCAAGGGUACAAAUGAUUGCCACAUUAGGACGUUCUUAUGCAGCAUUUCUUUUCCACAUUAAUCUCUCACGUUUCUACUAGAUAAGAACAAAUUUGAAUAGGGGUUGCAUUUAAUGCACUUGCUUUACUAGCUUUAUUCACAUGUGGUCCAAUGAUUUAUCUCUUAAACCUCGGCACUCAAAUGCAAUUAUUGCAUCAUCAUUUGGCAUUUUAUAGUUGACUGAUUGUUUCAACUACACAAAUAGGAAAGGAUAAGAUCAACAUUAAUAAAUCUAUGAUGAUGGCGUGGCAAUUGUGCUUGAGUUAUGUUGGCUGUGGAGGUCAUGAAUUUUAUAAUAACGUUGAAUAGCAAGAUGGAUGAUUCCUGAUUUAGAAUGUAAUGGUAUAUUUGCAUAACGAGACUUUUUUAGCCUUUGCUUGGAAUAUGGAUUGUUCUGUGGACUUUCAUGCAGUUACAUCUGGUAAAAGACAGAUUAUUUACGGGAUGAAUUUGGCUUUAUACAUGGCAUGCAAAGUAUAUCAUUUUGCACCACUUUGAUGCUUGUGGGGAAUGCUAAGCUCGUGAAAGCUAUUUUGACCUUGUCAAUUCCCAGAAACUGUAAGUGGAAAUUUACCUGCUGAAUGUAAAUAUACAAAACACUAGAGGCAAAAGAAUAGAUAGACAGCUAGAUGGUUUAAGUCAAGGUUCCACUUUUCUUUUGGUAACUGUUUCAACUGGGUUUAGAUGUCAUUUGUAUCAUAUGCUCUAUUCAUAUGUAAGCAUACAGUAUGCAUAUAUAAAUAUGUGUGUGUGCGCGUGCGUGCUACUAUGCUGAUAGAUAUGCAGGCAGCGUCGCCAAGUGUCUUUUUGCAUGGAUAUCUGCAUCUAUCAAUUAGUGCCCAAAUCUCUGGCAUCUUUCUUCUGCAUUUUAUUUUGACUUUCGGUAUUACAUUUGAUUGUCGCCACUGAAGCUGGUAAAACGAAACAGGUCCCAAGAUUGAGCUAUAUAAACUCGGGUCGUGCCAUUCUGGCAUUGUCAUCGAAUGCUGUACACAAGCUCUGGAAAUGGGAAGAAAGUGAUCAAAACUUAACGGGCAGGGUAAGGAAAAAAGAGGCAAAUUCUUUUGUUGUUUAGCGUAUUGUUAACUACAUUGAUUCUUCUUUUCGCAGGCUACAACUAGUGUAGUACCACAGUUAUGGCAACCUCCCGGUGGGAAUUUGAUGACCAAUGAUACAUGUGGUGCAAAUCCUGAAGAUGCAGUUCCGUGCUUUGCAGUGUUAGAGAAUGGUCCUUUUCUAAUAUCAGCAUCAGGGGGGGAGAUCUCUUCGUUCGAUAUGAGGACUUUUAAGGUGAAUAUUUUCCCUAAGAGAUGUAUACAUCCUCUUGUCAGUUUUUGUAGCACUAUCCACAAGGCACGAGAUGAUGAACUACCCCUUUGUGCUUACUAUGCCCAGUAUUUCCUCCACAUUUUUAUGGGAGCUAAAAUUAAUUGGUUCAAUCAUGUAUAAAAACGUAUUGAACUCUAAUUGUUAGGAGGUCCAUGAAAGCAAUUGCUCCGAUUUUCAUGGGGAUUAUCUGUUCAAGAGUGCAGCAUGUCCCUUUUUACUUGCUAAGCGAGAUAAGGGCUUUUCAGUGUCUUCGAUGGAAUCUUUUUGCUCUUAUUGAUUAAAGAAAACAAGCAGUGCUUUUUUAACCCGUCUAGAGAUCUAUUGGUCCAACUUGUUCUCUCCCUUUCCUAAGAAGGGAGAUGCCAUUGAGGCAAGUGCCUCUUGGCACGUGUCCCACUGUUAUUUAUAAAGUUGUUAAUAUUAUCCUACAUGCUGAUAUGCAGACGAUGAAAAAAUUUAUGCCCCCGCCACCACCGCCACCACGAAACAAUGACAUUAUUGAGAUAGGAAUGGAGGACUCCGCUAUUCAAAUUUAUAGUGCUCGAGCUGAUGAGGUGAAACCUGUUUUCAUUGUCGUUGAAAGUUAACCUUGUGAUUAUCCACAACAAAGUUACGGAUAUUGACUAUUUUACUUUCUCAGAUCCAGAGAAAACUAAAAGGACAUCGGAGAAUAAUUCAAGGCUUUGCCUUCUCAACUUACUUAAAUGUUCUCGUGUCUUCUAGUGCUGAUUCUCAGGUACUAGACCAAUGCUUUUUUACUUGCUAGUGAGACAAGGGCUUUUCUGUGUCUUUAGUAGGAUCUUUUUGCUCUUACUGAUUAAAUAAAACAAGGCAAGAGCUUUAUUCCACAUUCCAUAAAUCUAAUAUUCGAAGUUGCCUUCUCCCUUUCGCAAGAAGGGAGACGCCAUUAAGGCAAGUGCCUCAUGGCACAUAUGUCCAACUGUUACCUAUAAAGUUGUUAAUACUAUUCUUCCUGCCAAUAUGCAGACAUUGAUAACAUUUACACCCCGACCACCACCCAUAACAUUUCUGGCGUCUUUUCCUCAAUGUGUAUAUGAAGCAAUAGGAAGGGAGGACUCCUCUAUUCAAAUUCACGAUCAUCGAAUUCAAAAGGUGAGAACUAAUUUUAUUGUUGUUCAAAGUUGACCUUGUUAUUAUCCACAACGAAUAUAUGGAUAUUGACUGUUUCACUUUCUCAGUGGGUGGCAAAUCUAAAAGGACAUCAGAAAAGAAUUACAGGCCUUGCCUUCUCUAAUGUCUUAAAUGUUCUCGUGUCUUCUGGUGCUGACUCUCAGGUACAAGACCACUACCACAUCUUCCUUUCCAUGUAGACAUGCCUAUGUUUUGGGUAGAGAUAGCAAUGUAGUUUAACCUGCUCCAAAAAAUGGGUUGAUGUUCACUCUGGAUAUAUUGAUGCUUACGCCCUCAUCAUACGUCAGUACACGAGGCAUCCUUAACUAGGCAGAAUAAAUCCUUCCAGAAAACUUCUUCUUUUGUGGUGACAGAUUAAUCCCAUCCCAUUAAGUGGGAAAUAAAAAAGCUAUGUUGUCAUGUUGUUGCUUACAACUGAUGCUUGGUGUUAUUCUAAUAUAAAAUACAACGUAAAAUUUUAUUGUUGCAUUAGUCAAUCAAUGUUGAUGUUCCCUUUGAUAAUUGUCAAUUGUCGCUGCAGUUGUGUGUUUGGAACACUCGUAGAUGGAAGAAGCAGACUAGUAAGUUUCUGCGAAUGCCGAAUGGGCGAGGAGCAGCGCCUCUUGCUGAUACUCGUGUUCAAUUUCAUGUGGAUCAAAUACAUCUGCUGGUUGUUCAUCAAACACAGAUCGCCACAUGUGAAGCUCCUAAACUAGAAUGCCUCAAGCAGGUAUUGAAUAUUUUUUUUAUUAUGCACAAUCCAAUCUCUCAUCUCAUCUUGAUUGCAUAAUAAGUAUCAAUAUAUUAGAUAGUAUGAGUCGCUUCAUGCCAAAUGUGUGUUUUUUUUUCAUUCAUUGUUGAUCGCAACUAGUGGGACACUCGAGAAGCUAGCGCUCCAAUCACAGAUGCUACAUAUUCAUGCAAUGGCCACUCAAUAUAUGUGAGCUUUGAAGACGGGAGCAUCGGUGUUCUUUCUACCUCUACACUCAGAUUGAUAUGUUGUAUUAAUCCUGCGGCUUAUAUCCUUCCAAAACCUAGGUAAGUUGGUUAUUGCUGCUCACUUAACCUCAUUCCUUUAUGGAAAAUGGCAAGUCUCAUUCGCAAAGUUCCAUAGUCUCGUGAAUUAUUCAUUCCUUACUGAUGUAUUUGGCAGCUUGAGAGUAUACCCGCUAGUCAUCGUAGCACAUCCAUCAGAACCUAACCAGUUUGCGCUAGGGCUUACUGAUGGCAGCGUGUAUGUGCUUGAGCCAUUGGAAUCUGAAGGAGAGUGGGGUGGUUCUCCUGUUGAAAAUGGUGCUGGGCCUAGCACGACCUAUGGCACAACCAAUUCAGAUCAACCCCAAAGGUAGUGCAGGCCAUGUCUCUCCCUGUGAAACUUGUGAGCAUUACAAUGCUAAGCCGGCUUUCCUCCACCUUACUUGAUUCAAGUUUUGAGGGGAUGCUGCUGAGGGUAGAUUUUACUACCUCAGGGUACUUCCUUGCAACAUAGUUCGGUAUAGUUUGUCCUAAUCGACUUCUGCUCAAGUCUUGUGGUGAUAACUUGCUUUGUUAUAUUCAUUUGGGUUGACUGGAAGUGAAAGAAGAAAAACAUGAGAUUAGAGUGUAGUUUUGAAUACAACAAAUUGGAGGUAGAGAGGAUGUCCCACUUCCUACACAACCAGAAACCUAAGGACUUGAUUAUACUAGUUAGUUAACCAAUGUCUUUUUAGUACCUAAACUUAAUUAAUUUAUAAACUAAUUGUCCACACAAUUUUUGACCAUUUUAUUAACCUAUGUUACUAAAUGAUGUUCAUGUAUGAUUGCACGAUCAAUUAAAAAGUAAACAAUCACAAUCAAUGUAAUGGAAGUAAAUUAGAAGAAAGUAGACCCAGUGGAGUGUCAAGCGAAGAAUCAUAUGGCUUUGUUAUUAAGCCUCUGGGCAACAACCUGUGCUGAAUUCAAUUGAGGCCAAUUCAUCAAAAGAGUGCUCUACCUAAACCUAAAUAAAUUAAAGUUACUUAUCAAAAACCCCCUAAACUAUAUGUAUACUAACUAAAUAAACUAAGCUAAAUCUAGCAUCACAACUUAACGACCUAAUCAAGGUCUCCGUUCCUAGCAAUUUUCAAAUUUUUAUUUUUUUUUGAAUUUUUGGAAAUUAAUUCUUAUCAUUUUUUGAAAAUAGGGACCUGAGCUCCGGCUAUGAGCUGGACGCUGGUCUCACGAAUCUGGGAUAAUAACUAAUAACCACAGUUCGGGCUCUAAUGUUCAGGCCCCUCCAAUUCUAACUUCACUGAGCCCAAUUUCGAUUAUACAUAUUCUAAGCCCACUACCCAUCGUAACUACUCUAGCCCAUUUUCUCUUCCAACUUCACCUAGUCCAUCUUUAAGCCCGAUUUCUAUUAUAGGUAGAUUAAACCCUAAGCCCGCUCGAAACCCAUCUCAUUAUUAUAUUUAAAUCAAUUCUCCUCUUUUCUUACGUCUUUUCGUCAUUUUUUUUUAUAUAUUAUUUUCUUCUUCCUUCUUCCAGCCCUUUGUCCUCUUGGGCAAGUCAAGAAUCUAACCAGCCAUUUUCUCGCCGAUGAGCUCCAUAGAGACUUAACAAAAACAUAUGUGAAAUUAUAGAACGAAAACUCAAGAAAAAUCUAUGUUCUGAUUUGAUCUUGAUAACAAUGAAUUUUAAUAAGAAUUAAAUCUGAAUGCUUAUGGACUGACUUGUAGCAAGUAAUGUAUGCUAAAAUUUCUUCAGAUUGAACUAGAUUAGGAAUUAUUUCACCAAUAUAUCUUAGAGACAUUUCAUCAAACAGUAUAUGUGCACCAAAGGGAUUGAAUCUUGUCAAUAAUUGAAGUUUUUUUUUUCGUCUAAAAUCAAUGUCAGGACCAUGAAGCCAUUACAAAUCAUCAAAUUACAACCUAGAUCAUCAGUGAUUUUCACAUUAGUAACCUGAACGUGGUCCAGUCAUGCAUCUUUCCGAAACAGGGCAAGAAAGAGGGGAAUGAAAUUAUCUUCUCAAGGAGUUCUCAGUUGAGAACUAAAGGCUAAUGAACAAACUAACGGCUAGACAUAGUCUGGUUUCUGGGCAUUUAUGCGUCCGAGUAAUGCAAGUUGGACUUAAUAGAUGUGGAUGGGCCAUGGGCUUGGCUUGGACGAAUUGGAUCGAGCCCAUCGCAUUGAAUAGAUAUCCUUUUAAAUUAGUUGAUGAAUUGAAUUCCCUUCAGUUAUUAUUUUUUGUAAUCUUCAUUUUGGUUUUAUUUAUUCAUAUCUUCAAUAUAAACCGCCUAAGUUGCCGAUUUUCCUUUAAUUGUUGACUAAAAAUCAAACAUCCACGGCAGGUCCAAGACCUCAAAAUUGGUUGAAGCAAUUUCCUAAGAGUUGUUGUAAUCCUGAAGGUGCUACAAUUGAGAAAUGUUUGACAAACCCUUCACAAAAGCCGCAAUGCCCAUUUUCAUAGUCCAAGUAACUCCUAACAUUAAUUAUUCAUACUAUUUUCAAAAUAAUUCAUAUAUUUUUAGAUAGUCAUAAUAUGAAUAAUUUAUUUAGCAAUUUCUAUUAAGAGUCGAAUUGUUAAUUCGAAACUUUCAAGCAAAGAAUUAUAAAAGGAGAUUGCCAAAGGCAUUGGAAGGCAAUUUGGAAAAAGAAGUAUUUUAUAAGAGUCAUAAUAAGUCAAAAUUCAACAAAAUGUCAAUCGAAGUGCUUAAUCAUGAAAAAGAAGAAGCGAUACCAAUAUCAAAAACCAAAGAGCUGUUGGCAGAAUCAAAAUUUCCUUCUCAUCUCCUGUUGGUGUAUAAACUAUUUAUUUAGUUCCGAAAAGAAUAAAUAUAAAUUUACGUUUAUUUUGUCACAUAGUUUAACUUAAAAGUACUUUGAUUUGAUAGGUGGAACCAUCACAACUAAACUGGGUAAGGUCUCUCUUUAAUUUUUGUGGGUAUAUAUUUACAAUGUUAAUAAGUACCUGACAUUUAGAAAUGCUGUGGACAGUAGCUCUCCUUCAUCCUUACAAUGAAUGUCAAUACAACGAAAAUUAAUUAACCACAUUUAAGCCAUUCUCAAUUACUUGCAAGCAUCUGCACACAAAGUGAAACCUGCUUAUUUCCGUCUUCGACUGGGCUUCUUACUCUUUCUAGCUGGGGUCGACUGCUCCAAAGGCACUGGUAAUAGGGUUCCUCCUUUAACACCAUCUUUAUCAUUCAUCUUAUCGAGAGUUUUCUGGGCUCCAAUAUACACCUUAAGGUCUCUGAUCUGUGAAGGAUGACAAGGGACAUGCCACCGUCAACGCACACUAUGCACGCACGCGCGCAGAGUUUUCACAAUAUUAUAUACAAAUUAUUACAGUUUUAAGGCUAAAAGAAAAUACCUGUUCUUCUAAGUCAAGUAUUUGUUCAUCCUUCAACUUCAGUGACAGAGUUUUCCUGCAGAUGCACAGAAGCGUAUGUGUCCUCCAUUCAUGUCAAAUUAGAAGGGAAGACUAAAUUCCUGACAGCUUUAAUUGACUGGAAUCAUAUACUGAAAAAGUGUCGGUACAAUUGACAAUAAUGCUUAUUGAGGAAACUAGUCCACGUAACUUCAAUGAAGAUGGACAAGACGAGUAUACUUCAAAAGGCUGCAUGAAUUUUUCUAUAAAGAAAAUAUUGUAGGCAUAUUAAGGUACUUAAAAGGCAUCUACACCUAUAUUGCUUGACAUGUGAAGCUCAAAUAAGCUUUAAGUCUACCCAAUGUAUCUUCUUUUCCUUUUAUUUUCUAUUUUGUGAAAGUUGGAAAUGUCGACAUAACGCAGUAUGAACAACCAAUCGAAUUUUAAUUGGAAUUAGUAGAAUUUCAAUAUUGAACCAUAUCAAUUAAAAUUUGAAUCCUGAACCAUCACAGAUUAAUGUUCAAAUAUCUCCAGUGUGUAAAAAAGUACUUUGAAAUUGGACCACCACCAUGAAGAUUUUAACAUUGAUUUCUGUCGAUAAAGUUCAACCUCUAAAGCAGUAGCACUAUUUCUUCAGAGGAAAACAAAAUUACAGAUGGAGCAUAUAUAAACAAAAGAACAAAAUUAUGGAGAGCACCGACACAUGGAACCUUCUCCAUACGUGCUUCGCUCUCUCCUUUCUCCUUUUCCCCUCUUUGUCUCUUUCUUUCCCUCGUUAGAGUUUGUCCCAUCUUGCCACUUUUUUAAAAGGAUUCAAUAAAAAAACACCAAAAGCUUUUUCAUCUUCUUGCCACAUCCCCCAACUAAUAAUUAACCUAAACUUAAUUAUCCUUCCCAAGUAUGGUGAAAGGAAGGCAUAUUACCCAUGUGAUAAACUCUUACUCAUCAUAAAAUGACUUUCAUUCUUUUGCCAUUUGUUAUGUGUUACAAGUCACGUAUAGUUGCUAUUCACAUAUUUGAAUUAGAAACUGUAUUUCCUCUUUCUUCUUCGAACUUUAACCUUUUUUACCUCACAUCUAAAAGUCCAUUGCACGUGAACACUUCCUCUUCAUGAUACCCUUCCCACUCUUUUCUCAUCUUCUCAAAUGUCUGUUUCCACUUCCUCCCUCAUGACCAACCUCACAUGAACUAUUACUACAAUGCUGCUUUCAUUUUACUGAUUAGUUUUAUGAGACUAUGAAUGCUAUGGUAUUACUUGUCUAGAGAAAUCAGCAAUGAAAAAUACCUCUCUUCAAUUUCCUUAACCUUUCUCCGCAUCAUAUCUUGGUUCUUGAUAAGAGUUUGAUUAAGCUGCAACCACAAGGAAUGGCAUCCGUUACUGUUAUGAAUGAGUGAAAACUAUUGCAUCUGAUUGUAAUAUGAAAAUGAGGCAUGUGAAAAACAAGCAAAACAACAAUCAGCCUUGGCUUCAGGCAGCCCUCCUCUCAAACUUUAAACAAACAAAAAUCACAAAAGGUAAAACAGAGAAGACUAAAGCCUUACCUCUGCCACGGCCUUCUUUUCAUCACCAAGUUUCCCCAACUUACUAUGGAUGUCUUCAAUCUUUGAAGUCACACCUUUCUCGAUUGCUUCUAGUUUGGAAUUUUCUUUUCUACUUUUGGCUUCUAACAUGAGAGACUCAUAAUGCUAACAGAGAAAAACAAAAGAAUUAAUAGGGGAUGAUAUGUUCAAGGACUUACAAUGUAUUCUUUAAAGUCAGUCUAAGGAUGAUGGCAGUCUAUGUAACAACAAUGACAAACAUGGGUUAGAAAUGGAACACUAUCAUCAACAGUAGCAUGGGCAGUUUAUAUAUAAUCUACUGGCUUUUGUAAUUCUACUUCCGAUACAACAGGUUUUCAAUUCAGAUACUCUUCCUUCUAAGACACAUCACAAAAAGUCAAUAAUAAAAGAGUCCUGGCACCUUAGGGAAACUCAAUUCAUUUUCUACCACAGAUAUAUUAGUAAGAAAACAGAAAAGAAAAGAAGAAUACCGUAAGUUUUGCAUUUCUCUCGAGCUGAUGCAAGCCCACUAGUUCUCUUAUACUUCCUAUAUAAGCUCAUUAGACAAAUGCAGUAUGCAAAUCGACAGGUAUAAAAUGUUGUACACUACAUAAAAGCAAAUGAAGCUGAGAUUAUACAACAUGAGUGUAAUUACUUUCCUUCUCUUCACAACAAUUCUGACAAUCCCAUUGAUUUCCAAGAGUAAAAUGAGUUCACUUAAGGAAAAAAAGAGAGAGAGAGAGAGAAAAGAAAAUGGACAAACAUUUUUUGAUCUGAAAUAACUAAACUAAUGUUCUAUUAUGGUUUUCUCCUAAAAUAUGUGUACUUAAAAACCAUUACCUAAAGCAAAAGCACAAUCGAACGCAAGCUUUCACAAGUAAUGCUUAUAACCAUGGCUGAUCAGUCAAUAUAAUAAAAUGUAAAAGACUAAACAGGGAGAAUUGAAAUGGUCUUGGUAUACGCAUGCUUACUUUUCUUUGCACUUCCAGCUGACUUGAAGCUAGAUGAAUAUAGUCGGCGUGAAUCUACAAAAAAGUAAAGCUACAGUGUCAGAGUAAAUGAAGAAAGUCUGACAAUUAUAAUGGAGGCAAUAUCCACUUUGCAGGCCCAAUAAUGAACUUGUGACAUUUGGCCAACAAAAUGAACAUGUGCAGUACAAAAACAGAAACAGAAUCUUUCAUUGUCAGUUGUCAGCACCUAAAACAGUAAAAGCAUCAUGCACCUCAAAACUUCAAACAUUUCACUUAACUGAGUCCAAGCUCCAAAUCUUUGCAGGGAAAGGGGAACCAGAAAACAAAAAUAUUCAAAGCAUAAAAAUAAGAGGACACAUGAACCUACUGCUUCGAUUUUGCUGCUGAAGAGCGCCCCACUAAUUUCAGAAUCCUCGCUACAACCGCAGCUACCACAAUCUCCUUCAAGUGAUUCACAGUAUGAAUUCAUCUCCAAAAGCUUGCCGUCAGCUUUUGAUUGAUUAAGCCAGUGAACAUAAGUGUCCCCAACAUAAUCCCAAAUUUGCUGUGUUCUUAAAUCCAGAGAAUAGCAAUGUUGUGUAUUUUUCCAAUGGCUGAUUGCGUGGUUAUCUUUGUAUCUACAAAGCCAGAAAAGAAAAGCUAUGAUGAAGACAGCCUAUCCAAUCACUAAAAUUAUAGAAUGAGCGAAAAUUCCAGCACAUCAUGACUGGAUCCAUCACCUUCCACAUCCGACAAAACCACAUAUGAGACAAACCCAAAGAUUUUCCUUUGUUCCACAAAUAAAGCAGGAAGGUACCUCAUCUUGCUGUUGGCAUAGAUGGCAAACCUGGUAAAGAACAGAAACAGAAUCUUCUUCACAAUCUGUUAACAGAGGGGCAUCCCUGAUGAUGUUGCAAAAUGAAACUACAUUUCCAAUCAAGGUAAUUUCUUGCAACCAAAUCAAGAUAUGUGCUGUAAUUGACAUCUUUAGCAAUGUAAUUGGAACUUGCAAUAAAAUCAAAGGAAGACCCUUGGGACAUCACCAGCAUGGCAGACAUCAUGUUGACUUAUUUUAACCAUAAAGAUUGAUGAAUCAAGCAAAAGUUAGUAUGCACAUGUCUGUCGAUAUAUCUUCUACAUGGCACUUUUUCAACUUUUGAUAUUACAUGAGCUCAAAGGUACUUUUUUUAUACAAAUUCACAUGGACAGAGCAUAUUAGAACAUCACUUGAAAUGUAAAAUACGACCAUGAAACAUCUUAGCUUCAAGAUGGGGAAUGUUUGAGGUCAAAGAUCAGAAUUUUGACAUCAGUAUGAUCAUCCUGUACUUGUGAACACACACAUAACUUAUCAUGUAUGCUUGGCCACUGCUAUUACUUCUGUCACUCUUUGACUCACGAGAAAUUUGACAUAGGAGUGACAGGACCAUCGGAUCAAAUACACAUGAUGAGACAUUGCAAAGAUUCUUGUGUCAGAAUAUGAUAAUCAACAAAAAGUAACUCCUAGGAGCCACGCCAUUGACCUAUUCCAAAUCUCCAAAUAAAUGUCAUGAUAAUUUAAAAGAAAUCCUGAACUUAGUAAGCGCAAUAGAGUAAAGGAAAAUUCUACUUUUCAUUCAUAUACUUUCACACGACUUCUAAUCAUGUUUCCAUACUUUUAAUUUGCCUAACCAAGUCCAUCUACUUUAACAAUCUUUCUAAUCAAGUCUUUCCGACACUUAAUACAACCAAAUUCAAUUGAAGUGGCCCUUCGACGACAACAAUGUAUGAUGCCGAUAAAAUUUGCAGAUGCCCACGUGGACAUGUAUGGAAAAAUUUAGCCAAUGUAGACGACCUUGAAGUGUGACAUGGAUAAAAUAAUGGACGUCCACAUUAGAAAAAUUUUAUCCACGUCACACAAUGAAGACAUCUGGCAGUCACAUCAGCUGAAUUUGGCCUGAUUUGGUGUCAGAGAGACUUGAUUAGAAAAUUGGUAAAAGUAGAAGAACUUUAUUUAACAAAUUAACGGUACAAGGGACUUGAUUAGAAAAAAAUGUGAAAGUACAGAAUAAAAACAAUACUGCCACAACUGCUACAGCCAGUAUUAAUUAUCAAAAACCAACAAUUAAUCCACAGUCAGCAGAUUAACAGAGAGAUAGUGGCAGUAGCUUGGAAAUUACAUUAUAAAUUCAUCUAAUCCGUAUCAGCAGAAGAAUGCCUAACCUGACAAGACAAGUAAGUCCAUUUUGUACCACAUGAACAAUGAAAGGAAUGGUCACACUGCGUACUCAAAAUUCCACUGGUAUCUGGGUCCAAUCUCUGACAUUUUUUUAAAAAAAAGUUGCAACUCUGAACAACUUUUGAUAAACUCAUCUCACUGCGGAGGAAAUAUAAUCAGCAAGGGGGCACCAGCAUGGCUUACCAAGACAAACUGGACAAGAGGGUAGCUCCGUAAAGCCCGAUGGGGGUGUGCUAGCUACAUCAGCUGAUUCCGUAUAGUCCACUUCGUGCAGAUAUAGAAUAUGGCAUACCUCAGCCUGAAUGUCCAGAAGACGAGUAUUAAAAGUGAAACAGAAAUCGACUAUGUGAUCUCACAGCAUACAACAGGUGCAAAAAUUGCAAAUACCUCAGCAGGCGAGAAAUUCUUGCCAUUGAAGGUGCAAUAGAAACCAUCAGCAGCCUUUUGAUCGGUAAGCUCGAUCAGCACACUGUACCUAUCUUCCAUCCCAUCAUUCCUACAUCAAACGCACAAUUCGCAAUACAACGAUCACUAAAACCAUUAAAAAGCAUUUAAAAAAGAACCCAGAUCGGAAAACCCAGUUCCACCGUCGGAAUGCUUCCAAAAAAUUGAACUUUCAUCAUCGGACCCCCCCUAAGGCAUGAUCAUGAGCAAAUUUUUGAGUUUCGAGUCCAUCUUUUAGAUUUUUCGUCAGCGAAUUCUAAUUCCUCGAAUUCUCUCUUUCGCUUGCCCAAUUCAUCUCACCAACUGCAAAAACCGGUCCGAAGUCCCGAAGAAGAGGAGGAGAGAAAACAGAAACGAUGGAAGCCUUACCUGAUGAACCGGAGCUCGGAGACGUCGUCCAUCCGGGGGCCGCAGAACCGGAUGAAGUCGUCGGGGGAGAAGUAAUUGGGGACGGCGACGACGAAGAGGGUGGUGGAGCGGGCGCCGGGGCUCGAGAGGGGCGCGUGCGACAGCGUCCGGAACAGGUGGACCAUGCCCCUCCUCUCGGUGAACCUAGGGCUCCCCGGCGGCGGCGAGGAGGAGGAGAAGCCGCCGUAGUCGGUGGCGAGGGGGUGGUCGGUGUCCACCGAGUGGCCCCGGAAGAAGAACAUUUUUUAUUUAUUUCGGGUUUUCGAAAUAUAAAAAAAAAAAAAAAACUAAAUUUGAAAUUGAUAAUAUGUAAAUUGUCAUCCAAUUUCAUUGAUAUCAAAUUAAUUUUUGAUUGAGCAAGUCGAGAAUCAUGUGAAUUAUGUGAUUGCUUAUGAACGACAUAAUUUUAUAAUCAUCUGAUUCUCAUUUACUAUUAAAAUGAUGAUGCAUCUAGAUUGACAUUUGUAAUGAAUUCUAUAAACAUUGAAAAAGUAAAAAAUGAAAAAGGCCUAAACUGACCUAGUCGUGUAUUCUAUUUCUUUUGCUUCAUCUGACAAACAAAACAUGACCAAACAAGCUAGAUUACUCCUAAAUAUUCUAAAACUGAAAUGCAAGAGCAGUCGAGUGUCUAUUCGGCAUAAAAAUUGCUAUUACAGGUGAUUAUUAUGCAAGCCUAGUUUGGGCCAACAUCAGGAGUAAUGUGUUGCUCAAGCUCACUAAUAAAAUGAAUCAUACAUAGAAAUGUUGGGACACGGCUUAGGUGAAGGUCGGGCAAGCUAGGAUUUUUUACCGUAAGGAUAUUUUAUAGUCUCGGGGUCAUGUCUCUCAUUGUGAUGUUGCAAAGUGUAGAUUUUAUAGUCUCGAGGUCUUCCUCCUUACACACUUUGGCACAAUUUGUCUUAAAGUGGUACAAUUAACAUCCUCAUCGACUUGUAGAUUUUAUAGCCUUGGGGUCUUCCUCUGGACAUAGUUUGGCACGGUCUGUUUUAAGUGGUACAAUUAGCAUCCUAAUCGACUUCUGCUCAAGUCUAGUGGCGAAAAUUUGUUUUAUUAUAUUCAUUUAGGCCGAUUGAAAGUGAAAAAGAAGACUGACCAAAAAAAAAGAAAGUGAAAAAGAAGAACAUGAGAUUAGGGUGUUGCCUAAAGCGUUGUAUAUUCGAGUUGGAGACAGGUUUAUCUGAUUUUAGUUAGCAAGCUAAAGGAUCGUAGGAACAGGGUUUAGUUUUUGCAGGCGGCUUCUUCUCUUGUUCCUUUUGCGUCGUGCUGAAAGUACUUUUCUUAUGUAUUUUAUUUAUUCUUUUUAAUUUGCUGAAGUAGCAUUUGUUAGCACUUAGCAGGUUCUCUUUUCUUGUUCUUUCGCCACCAAAAACAAAAAAAAAAAAUCUUCUUCCUGUGUUCCUAUUAUGAACGCGAUUUGAGUGCAACAGCACUCAGACCUUGGAUGAAAGUAAAUACUUCGCCAUGGUCUAUCUCGACAUUUUGCUUAUUGGAAUGCAAUCUUUGGGAAUCAAGUUCCAUCUUUUUUAGGAUGAUGGUCUUUAACUGCAGUCGGUUAAACACUGCAUCGUCGGGGACACAAGUCGGUUAUUUCUCCAGCUUUUACAGUUAACGGACUUGAUUUUUUUCAUUUGCAAAUGGACACAAAGCAGGGAGGAGCAUGACAACGAGCCUCUUUUGAUCUCAUCUAUAUUCCUAUCACCCUUCCCUUACUACGCUAUCAGCCACCAAAGAGUACUUUCUCUCAGCACAUGAGCCUAUAUUGUCAUUGCAAAGUGCUUGCACUUCAAACAAAUGCGGAAGUAGGAUGUGCAAUUUAGAGUGUCUGAUUUGAUUCGUAUACAGCGGGUUCAACCCUCGACAAGUUUGGAUGUCACACCUUAAAAGGCACAUUCUUCUGAACGGCUGAGUUUGCAGAAUCAAUAGCAAAGUGAACCUAGUGGGCACGUUUUCUCCGAACAUUUCCACAAAAUUUGGAAUUAGUUCCCCUUACAAAUAGGAACGAGGGUUUUCCCCCUUAUGAGAAGAUGUUCUUGACCUGGGAGUUUAGAAGGGAGUAAGGGCCCGUUUGGUUCGGCUUUGGGGGAAUGUCAUUUGGAGAAUGCAAAUAUCUUUGAGAGAAAGAGGCUUUCGGAAAUGUUAGACCGUUUGGUAAAUUUUAGCAUUGAAAUGCAACUUGGCAUAAAUACCGUUUGGCAAACUUUGCAUUUGGAAUUAGCUUUUGGUAUUUUUUAAUUUCUUUAAAAUCUGAAAUCAAAUUCCCGGCGGCCGGCCACUGCCGACCAACCGCCGGCGACCGCCGGACGGCCAGAUCUGGGCCGUCGCCGGACCACCAGAUCUGGCCGCCGGAGGUCGCGGAGGCCAGAUCUGGCCUCGCCUGGUCGCCUGGCUCGCGCGAGACUAGGCGACCGAAUUUGGUCGGGUGCUCCGAGCACUGCUCAGCCCGUUGCGUGGGUCGCGCAACCCAGGCGACGCCGCCUGAGGCCGCGACCCACGCGACGACGGUGCGUGGCGACGGCAGUGCAUGGCGACGGCAGUGCGUGGGCGACCAGCUCCAGCUAGUUGAGCUCCGCCGGCUAAAGCUUCAAUCUUGAAGAAACAAUGAAGACGAGGAAGACGAUGAACAGUUAUUUUUUAGGGUAAAAGAAGAAAACUAAAUUAUCAAUGAGGGCAAAAGUGGAAGAAAAAAAAAAUCAUUAAACCCCCUUCAACAUGCCGAAAAUGCUGAAUGCCCAAAGCAGGUCCCCACCUGCUUUGGGCUUUCAGCAUUCCAGAGUAUUUUAAAUGCUAGCAUUCCCCCAAAUAUACUCCCAAAUGCUGAACCAAACGGCUGAAAUUUUUCCCAAGGGGCUUUUGGGGCUGAAAGCCCCUUGGGAAUGCUGAACCAAACAGCCCCUAAGAGCCACUUAAAAGCUGUCGUAGUUUUGGAGAUGGUAUCAAACGACCUCUCAAAAAAGUAAUCCCAGUAUGCCAAACAUUAAUUAUUUUGACCUUUUACAAAAUCGUUCAUAUAUUUUUAGACAGUCAUUAAAUAAAUCGGUUUUAUAGCAAUUUCUACAAAAGCCAAUUUGUUAAUUCAAACAAUCCAAGAAAAGAACAAUAGAAGGAGAUUGCCAAUGCCAUUGGGAGGCAACUUGGCAAAGCGAGCACUUUUGUGAGGUAUAAUAAGUCAGAGUUUAACAUCAUAUGGAUCAAAGUCUUUGAUCGCGAAUAAAGAAAUGGCAAAACCACAAUCACAAAACUGAGGGUAGUUGGUAUAAUCGAAAUUUCAUUAAAAACUACUGUCGGUAUAUAAACUUGUUAUUUUAUUCCAAAGACAAAAAUUAUAAAUAUAUUACCAAAGCAGAACAACAUAUAGAAGAACUGAAGUUGAGAUCUAGACUUCUUAAAUUUUGGGGAGAAAAAGUUUCUACAAUAAGUUUUUAGGUACUGCUUUCAAGAAUGCUUUAGUAAGAUUGGCGGAACUGUAACAACUAAACUGAGAAUGGUCUUUCUUUAAUUUUCAGCGUCUGGCCGAGUAUAUGCAUCUACAAUGUCAAUAAGUGCCGGACACCGAAACUCAAUUGAAGAGGAGGACUGGGGAAAGUCGGGGAGUUGCACCAUCCACAACCCCUCCAAGUAUAGAGGUUCUGCAGAACACUGGGCAGUGAAAUACCACCCUCAGGCCUCCCUUGCGUCCGCAGAUGCUGCUAACAGUACUUUUCCUUCCUACUUAUGACGAAUGUCGAUAAAAUGAAAAAACAAUUAACUACAUUCAUGCCAUUCUUGUUUACUUAUCAAGCAUAUGCACACGAAGUGACACCUGCUUAUUUCCGUCUUCGGCUGGGCUUCGUGCUCUUUCUGGUUGGAAAUGAUUACUCCAAACGCACGGGUAAUAGGGUUCCUCCUUUGACGCCAUCUUUAUCAGUCAUCUUACCGAAUGUUUUCUGGUAUCCAAUAAACACCUCAAAUUCUUUGAUCCGUUAAAGAUGACAAGGAACAUAUUGCUGUCAACACACGUUACAUACACAUACACGCGGUUGGCAAUAUUAUGAAAACCAUAUGAAGGAAUAAAGUUUUGAGGUUCAGAAAAUGUACCCGUUUAUCCACAUUUAGUAUUUUUUUCAUUCUUCGACUUUAGUGACAAAAUUAUCCUGCACAUGUGAAGAAAUCGUAUGUGUGCUUCAUUCAUGUCAAAUCAGAUGGGAGGACUAAGUUCUCCGGACAGCUUUAAAUUGACUAAACUCGUCUACAAGUUGCAUCAAAUACAAUCCAUAACUAUGCUUAUCUAGGAAGAUUAGCCCACAUGACUCGAAUGAAGAUGAACAAGAUGAGUAUACUUUAAAAUGCUGCAUAAUUAUUCUCUACCUUGUAUGCAUAUUAAGGAACUCAAAAGGCAUCUAAACCCACAUCGCUUAAUCUGUGAAGCUCGAAUAAGGGUUAUGUCGACCAAGAGCAUAUUCUUUUCCUUUUAUUUUCUAUGUUCUCGAAGUUGGAAAUUUCAACACUACACAUCAUGAACAACCAAUGAACUGUUAUUGGAAUUAGUAAAUUUUUAAUGUUGCAAUUAAAUUUUAGUCGCAAACCAUCACAGAAUUAUUUGCAAAAUUUUCUAGUGUGCAAAAUUGUACUUUGAACUCGAACAAUGACUGUGGAGUUUUGAACAUUAACUUUCUGCCGAUAAAGUUAAACCUCUAAGGCAAUAGCACUAAAACAUCAAAAGGGAAACAAAAUCACAGAUGAAACAUACAUUAACAAAGGAACCAAAUAAGAGAGAGGUCGUCCCGUCUCGCCACUUCUUUGAAACUUCUUCAAAAAAAAAUUCCCAAUAACUACCUACUUCAUCUUCUUGCCACGUCCUCUAACCAAUAUUAACUCAAACUUGGUCAUUUCCCUCCAAAGUAUGGUGAAAAGCAGGCAUAUUAUCUAUUCAAUAAAUUCUCACACAACAUAAAAUGACUUUUCCUUGCACCUUUAAUGAUGUGUCAUAAGUCAUUUAUAAUCACAAUUCAGAUAUUUGCAUUGGGUGUUGUAGUUUCUCUAUCCUCUUCCAACUACUUUCACCCUUUUUACCUCAAUUUGUGACACCAUCUAAAAGUUCAAACUAUUGAACUCUUCCUCUUCACAUUACCAUCCUCACUUUUUUCUCAUCUUCUCAAAUGUUAUUCCGACCUUCCCUCUCAUGACCGACCGACCUAACUUAAAUGAAUUAUGACCAGCAUUGACUUGGGCCAUUAGGUCCAGCAUGAUAGAACUCAAGCGGGCCGACCCUAACCCGAAUCUCUCUUCAACUGAAAUUCACAUGCCACAUGGCACGCUUCCAUUAGUUAAAAUCCUCGUUGUCUACAAUAGAACAAAUGACGCCCAAUGGUCUAAUCAAUUUUCGUGAAAACUGUGUGGGAGCACAAAACUCUAGUUUAAAAAUUUUUAAAAAAAAAAAACAAAGCUAUUCUACCACCGGCCAAUCAUUACAUGUUCCGACUCCUUCGCUGGUCGCGCCGUCGACCAUCAAUCUCAGGAGGAUCACGUUUGUUCAUUUCAUCGAGAGCACCAUUCCAGAACUAUUUUAAAUAUUAAAAAAAAAAAAAUGGAGCAAGGAAAAUUCAUCUCGAAAAGGCGAUUCCGUUCGAUUCAGUUGGCGAUUUCAAGCGUUCUGAAUUGAUCCCAGUGGCGGUCGCCCGCGUCAACAGCCUCUUCAAUGCCGCGACUCAUCUCCUUCGUUUCCCUUCCGCGGCCGAGAGCUUCGAAAUGUUGUCGUUCCGCUCGAAGCUUCUCCACCUGUUCAGGUUUCGAUCAUCGACACGUUCCAUAGCUUCUUUCAGUGAUUCGUGCGCCAAACCGCGGCCUCAGUCCGCUUGAUUAACCGGGUAGCAUCUCCUGUUCUGUCGUCACAAGUAAGAGGCCGAGAGUCCGAUUCUCUUAUUAUGAUGAAAUUGAUCAUAGCUGACUUUUUUUUCAUUGACUUCGAACAUCAUGUACUGAUUUAGGUUGAGUCUAGUUACAAAUUUGGGUUCGAAAUGGCUUUGAUCUGUUCCACAACCGAUUCACCAUAACCUGUUCGGUGAAAUGUGUCUGAGACCUUGGUGUGAAUUGAUUCCAGUAAUCUUCCGAUUUGAAAGCACAUUAGUGAUGUUCACUUGAUAUUGUUUGAUUUUUUAAUCUUUAGACAUGAUUACGAGUAUACACCAAUAGUUGCCAAGGAUGAAACUGACUCUCCGUUUGUUUCCUCGGUGGUUCCUGUGAUCUUUUGGUGAUUGGUGGUGGUUGGCGAGACGAGAAGGCUUGGAGUCACUGGCACACGCGUGAUCUUUGGUGAUGAUCAUAGUACACCCUGUUGAACAGAAUUCAGAUGACGUCGCUGAGCAUGAAUCGCGAUCACGCCAAUUCAGAUCACUAACUUUGGCCGACACAUGUUUCGGUCACUAACUGGAGCAAUGUUAUGGCUACUUGCUAGCCUUAUCGUUGCUGCUGAGUUGCCUCACAAUUUCCUCAACCGCCGAGCUUUGCUUCUGUCCAUGCCUUGCAGUCCAUCGUUGCCAUUGUAAUUGCUGUGGUAAACCUACCUUGCCAUACCGCCAUGCGUUACCGAUAUGGAUUGACGUACCGAUAGAGCUAUAUCCACUGCGUUUUGUUAAAAACUGGAUCACCUCAUACCACCGGCUUGUUUCUGGUCCAACUGAUUUUUAGAGUUGACUGUAUAUUCUGAUUUCCUUCACUCCUUUGUUUUUUAUGUUCAGGAUUUUGCGCAUCUUCUUAAACCGAAUCAUGGGAAAGCUAAGCGGUUCGAAGUCCAGUCAUCAUGGGGUCAAUACUUUGUCACAAAAUCAUCGCAGAUUGCCUGCUUUGCCAUUCCUGUCUUGUCCUUUGAUUAUUGAUUACUCCACCUUCGUCAAUUUCAUUGUCCAGAAGCAGGUGCUAAAUCUGAGAACACCCACUAAAAUGAUAUUUUAUGUCUGUCGUCUAUUUCCUGCUUUAUUCUCUGUGGAUGACAUAUUCUACUUCACACGUGCUGUCGAGGGAGAUCAUGGUCCACAAUCAAUAUGAAGUGAGCAAGUUGUAUUUACUCUCUGUCAUUAGUUGAUAAGCUUUUGGGUAUGACAAUCAAGGAAUGAAACCAGUUAGUAGCUUGCUCAGAAUUAGUAAAUGAGGAUUUAUUUCUUUCUUAGAAGUGUCAAUGCCAUCGCUUUGUCUCUGAUUGUGGAAAGAGUUUAUUGUUCUUUUUGAACUUGCAUAAAAAUCGAUGGAAUGCUUAUGAAGCAGUGAGAUACCCGGAAUUUACAAGUUUUAUGAAUUGGUGUGUCCUGUUGUUGCAUAUGCUGUAGUUUAGCGGUUAUUGUUCAUCUAUGUUUGCUGAACCGUUUGAUUUAUCACUUUCAAUUAACAAGAUUUUGAUAAAGACACGUGACAAUUGUGAGAGAUGCACUGAAACUGGCACUUUGGUGAUGACAGUGCUCCUUCGUGUUGGAGCACUGUCAUUUAUGAUGUUGGAGAAGUGAAUAUGUGUUGAAGGUGCCAACCCCUCGUGAUCUUGGACCCACUCGUUGAAGAAAUGGAGAGGUAUAAACGUAAUCACUUUCCUUCUCUUCGCAACAAUUCUGCCAUUCCCAUAGAAGUUCCAAGAGUACAAUGAGGUCACUUAAAAAUAAUAAAACAGAAAAUGGAGAAACAUUUUGAAUCGGAAGUAGAUAAACUAGUGUUCUAUUAUGGUUUUCUCCUAAAAUAUGUGGUGCUUAGAACCAUUGAGAGAGAGAGAGAGCUUUUCGGAGUAAUGCUUACAACCGUGGCUGAUCAGUCAAAUAGCACAUUGGACAAUGUACAAGACUAUGUUAAGCAGGGAGAAUUAAGAUAGGUAUCCGCGUGCUUUAUUUUCUUUGCGCUUCCAGCUGAGUUGAAGCUAGAUAUAGGUGGCAUGCAUCUAUGAAAAAGUAUAUCUACAGUGCCAGAGUAAACGAGGUAAGUCUGAUAAUUGUAAUGGAGGUAAUAUACAUUUUGCAGCCCCAGUAAUGGACAUGUGACUUUGGCCAACAAAAUGAACAUACGAAGCACAAAACCAGAAACAAAAUCUUUCAUUGUCACCUGUCAGCACCGGUAAAAGCAUCACGCACCUGCAAACUUCAAACAUCUCACUUGACUGAGUCCAAACUCCAAAUCUUUGCAUGGAAAGUAGAAUUGGAUAACAAAAAUGUUCACAGCAUACAAAUAAGAGGGCGCAUGAAGCUAUUGCUUCAAUUUUGCUGCUGAAGAGCGCCCCACUAUUUUCGGAAUCCUCACUGCAACUGCAACUACCACAAUUUCCUUGAAGUGAUUCACAGUAUGAAUUCAUCUCCCAAAGUUUUCCGUCAAAAUUUGAUUCAUUAAGUCGAUGAAUGUAAGUGUCCCCAACGUAGUCCCAAAUUUGCUGCGUUCUUAAAUCUAGAGAAUAGCAAUAUUGUGUAUUUUUCCAACGGCUGAUCGCGUGCUUAUCUUUGCAUCUACAAACCCAAAAAGGAAAAGCUGUAACAAGACAGCCUACCAAACACUAAAAUAUAGACCGAUCAUCAUACACCUUCCACAUCUUCCAAAACCACAUAUCAGACAAACCCAAAGAUAGAGCAAAUUGAGAUGGAGCAGAACGAAAAUAUUCUUCAGGGUUAGUUCACAGAUGGGCAUCCCUGAUGAUGUUGCAAUAUGGAGCCACAUAUGCGAUAAUGUUUAAUUCUCGCAAUCUAAUCAAGUAUGUGCCAUACUUAAAAUCUAUAGCAAUGUAAUUGAACCUUGCAAUAAAAUCAAAGGAAGACCCUUGGCACAUCACUAGCAUUGGAGAAUAUCAUAUUGACUUAUUUUAAACAUAAAGAUUGACGAAUCAAGGAAAGGUAAGUAAGCAUAUGUCCAUUGAUGGAUAAUCCUAUGUGACACUUUUUCAUCUUUUGAUAUAUACUCGAGUUCAAAGUUACUUCUUUGCUACAAAUUUACAUGGAUGGAGCAUUAUCACAAUCAGUGGAAUAUAACUUGAAAUGUGAAAAAUGACCAAGCGCCAUCUUAUCUAACAGCUAGAAGUUUGAGAUCAAAGAUCAGCACUUUGACAUCAUUAUGAUCACCUAUGUCAACAAUGAAUACUUAAGUUCAACACAUAAACUCAAUAAUUUAUGAUUUGCCAGUGCUAUUGCGAUCACCCUUGGAUUCACAAUAAAUUGGACACAAUGGUGAUAGGACCAUUAGAUCAAAUAACCAUAAUGAGACACUGCAGUUAUUCUCAUGUCAAGGUAUAAGAAACAUCAAAAAAUAAGUCCAAAAAGCCACACCAUGGACCUAUUCCAAACAUUAGAAAAUGUCAUAAUCAUUUAAAGUGUUGAUAAAACCUCCAUAUAUAUUUUAAAAUUAACAAAACUAUCCAUGUUUGUAUUGAUCUUGGUAAUCGCAAAAAAGGCAUUUGUGUUUUAGGUACUAUCUAUGUCGAAAGGAUUUUUCUUGUCUAAUAAGAAUUAUUAGACAAAGAAUGAAGAGUUGUGGACCUAAGCAGGUCCUUAAAAGGCUCAAGGAGGAAACAAGCGAGAUAACCGCCCUGAGAUGGGAGUUUCUGCACUGUCCUCCGUAUUCCCUCUUUGUCAGGAAGACAAAGAUAGACAAGGAAUUUCGGGGUCUCUCGGUGGGAAAGGUAGACUCCACGUCAGAGCUUGCUUUGGCUACCGCCGGGUAGAGUGGUAUAAUAGCCACCCGUGCUUGGGGUGAGGGAGGGUGGGUGAAAUGCCCACUGCUGUGUUAGCACGCCUUAUGGCACAGUUCCUAACCACCGGCUAACACAGUACCCCGGUAUAUGUGUGAUAUUAGCAAGUGACCUACAUUGAUGCCAGCAAGUCAAAGGCUAGACAUCAACAAGGCAACAUGCUAGAUAUCAGCAAAGUCCCACAAAAGCUAAGUAUAAGCAUGAAAUUGAUUUACAAGAUUAUUCUUUGAGACAUUUUAUCUCAUUUUUAACAACUUGUGAUUAGGUAUGGAUUGCCUCUUAAGGAAACAUUGAUUGUCUAUCUCAUAGAUUGUCUUAGCAAAAGACUCAAUCCUGUAAGAUAUUUUGAUUGAUUGGCAAUCAUCUUCAAAGGCAAGUUUCUUUCCAUAGUAGAAGCAUUCUAUUUUUUAUAACCAAGGUUUAAUUGUAUGGGCGACCAAAUGAAAAAGCCACAUUUCAUAUUCUUCCCUAAAAUAUAUUUUGUUUUAUCUUUCAUAAUAUAAUCAUCAUUACUAUAUGCAUCUUCUUGUUUAUUUCUCAUAACAAAACGCAUAACCAAUACACUAUCGUCCUUAUGAACUACAUUGUCUACCACAUUAACAUGUCUUAUCUUAUUUUUUAUUUAUUACUAUUAUUAUUAUUAUUUUGUAAAUUGAGGUAUUGCAUUAAACAUCUUAACAAACUUUAUUCUAUUUAGGAAACAAAAAGUAACCAUUUGGUUAAGAUAUAUAUUUAUGACAAUGUAAUUGGUCAAGGUUGUGACAUUGUUGUAUAGUCAGUUCAUACUGUCCAAUCACUAAUGACAGCGACCUAUAACGAGUAUUGCUUAUUAAUUUUCUUUUCUAUAUUUUGUUAUUGAUUAAAUAUGCAAGUCUAGUCAGGUGUGCUGGAUCUCAACUUUCAAUAAAAGCUUCAUGUGCACUUGCUCAAAGAUUUAGAUUUAUGGAUUUUAUUGAUCACAUGUUGUUGGACAAUGUCAAUUACAAAAUUUGGAUUAUUUAAGGUUUGUGCCGAGAUGGUGUGGCAUUAACAUAUAUUCCCAAAUGUGAAACCAAGAUGUCAAAAACUCGGGAAGGGCCAGGAGUUUGUGAAAGGAAAAAGAAGGGACCAAAAUUAUCUUGUUUAGGUCGUGAGAUGGAUUUAACGUAAUGUAUAACUCAAUUAGUUGUUGUGUAAAUAAGAUCGUCAUAAUCAUCCAAUUUGCCCAAACAAGGACAAACAAAUCUUAUCAUAUUUACCAUCAAUCGAUUUUUAAUUAUCUUGACAAUCUAAUAUCUAUAUAGUAGAUUCUUCAGAAUUGUUACUAUAUUAAAUGUGCUAAUAUGCUUGUAACUCCAUUCAAACUAGGAUAUGGAGCCUAAUCCGAGUCCCAUCUUUAGUAAAAUUUUCAUGUCUAAUUUUCAAAGGCCAUUAAACAGCAGAAAAGAAGUGGCUCUGCGUAGAGGGUUUGUAUUCUGGUUUUCUAAUAAAUUAGGUAUCUAUUUCAAAAUUAUAUGCCAAAGAGCAUAUCAUUAUCAUUAAAUGCUGCCGUAAUCUACUUUAUUUAUUUAUUUACUAAAAUUAGUUGGUGGAGAAUACGCACCUCCCGCAUAAUGCCGCGUAAAUAAUAAUCCAAGGAGUAAUGUUUUUGUGAUUGACUCGUGUGUAUUUGCACCGGAAUCAUGGGAUUAUUGCUAUGCUGGUUAGUUUUCUUUUCUAUUUCUCGUAUUAACAGAACAGCAAAGUCAAGUCAACAACCACGAGCAUAGGAUUCUUCCACGCACCUCCUGCAAACAGCUGUGGAAAUUACGCGUGCAUUGAUUGACCUGUGGAAAUUGGCUUUGGUGAGAAUUGAUGGUUGGUCUUCAUUUCUAUUUCUUUAUUAGUAGAAAAAACAAGUCAAGUCAAAAAGCGUAGGAAGGUCCCCGCGCCUGCUGCAAAAUGUAGUGGAAAUUACGCGGGCAAUAGUUGCCCAACAGUUGUCUUUUCUAUUUCUCUUAUUGAUACAAAAGGCAAGGCAAGUCGAGUCAAGGUCCUCGCUUUGGAUAAAUAAAAUGUUUAGAAAUAAAAUAUCAUUAACAUUAUAAAUAUUUGUCAUUAAAUUAAUUAUUUUAAUUAAUAUAAAUAAUCAUUCUAAAGGAUAUAAUGAAAUUAUUUUUUAUUAAUUAAUUAUUUUAAAUGAUACAAGUAAACAUAAUAUUUAUCGUUUCAAGAAUUUACUUGUAUUUCUCUAAAAAAUUAAUCAAUAAAAAAUAUUUUCAUUAUCAAUGAUAAUUUAUGUUUAAAUAUUUUCAUAAACAAUUCAUUUAUUUAUUUUAGUAAGUAAUAUAAAUGAUUAUUUUUAAAAAAUAUUUUUUGAAUUAUUUAUAUUUUAUGGAACAAACGCACGCUAAAAGCUCCAAACAAAUGUUAAACUGAUGUGAUGAAGUAUUAAGGUGCCCUAUCAAGGGCCCCAAACGUUAAAUCCUCGAAGUUGCCAUACAGCUUGUACCUAUCAAAGAAACUCAAAAAAAUCUACCCACACUGAUAUGAACAAGACAAACUGGUGGACUAGAGAGAGCCUUGUAAGAUGAACCAAAGAUAAGGAUGGAAUCUUGAACACCCAAUGAAACAAGAGAUACAGAUAUCACAAGAUAAAGCUCAAAAUUCAUUUAUAAUACAUUUUGUGGUGUGUUUAGGCCAUAGACCGAUCAUAUCUUUCAUUCUCAUUGGAUGCGUAGGAAUCCAAUAUCCUAAUAUAUAAUAUAGGUGCGUUUCAAAGGUUGUGGUCUCCGAAUAUGCAAACAUUUUUUUUUUGCUAAUAAGGUGCUAAUUUGUCUUUACCUUAGUGUGAGUGGAAAUCCAUCACUGACCUCACCAGUAUUUUCCAUGAUCUAAUUUCAAAUAGUAGAAGAUUAAUGUGCCAGUUGAGCCUAGAAAUCCUUGCCCAAGAUCGAUCAUGAUUAAAGAAUAGGAAAAUACUACCAACCCCGGGUCUAUAAGGAGAGAAUUUAUCUUUUGUUUUUUCAUUUAUCUUUUUUAGUUUUUGCCGCACUCUUAGUUAAAUAUUCCUUAAUCUUAUGCAAUUAAAAUAGUUGCGCUCACAUUAAGGACCCAAUUGCACUAUCACUUGAAUUAUUUUCCUAAAAUUAACUAUUUAUAUCAUUUAAAAUAAUUAGCUAAUAAAAAUAUUUUAAUUAUCAAUGAUAAUUUAUAUUUAUAUAUUUUGUAUUUUUUAAAAAGCAAGCAAGACUUUGACUUGACUUGUCGUGCCUUUUCUAUGAACAAGAGAAAUAGAAAAGAAAAUCAAAGGGCAAUUAUUGUCCGCGUAAUUUCCAUUGCAUUUUGCAGAAAGUACCGGGGACCAUCCUCUGCUUCUGGAAUUGAUGUACUUUAUCUACUGAUAAAGGAAAUAGAAAUGAAAACGAACGAGCAAUUCUCCACCAUCUAAUUUCCACAGGGCAAUCAAAUGCACGCGUAAUUUUCACAGCAGUUUGCAGAAGGUGCGUGGAACCAUCCUGUGCUGGUGCUUCUUGACUUCACUAUGCAUUUCUCCGUUAAUAAGAAAGAUAGAAAAGAAAACUAACCAGCAUAGCAAAGCUCCCGUGCUCUCGGCGGUAAUUUAAACGAGUUAAUAAAAACAAAUCACUUGUCGGAUUAUUAUUUCCGUGGUAUUAUGCGGAAGGUACGUACUCUCCGCCAACUAAUUUUAAUAAAUAAAUAAAAAGAAAAUAGAUUGCAAUGGCAUUUAAUGAUGAUGAUAGGGUGCACUGGAAAGGAAAGUCAGAAAUUUUUUCCUUUUUUCUUUUACCAAUCUUUCUUUCAUCUAAAUAAAUUACUAACUCAUUCAUAUAUAUAUUUAGAUGAUGAAGAAACCUUCCGAUUUCCAUUAUUCAUAUUCGGUUCAUUUCCUUUAGAUAUUUUGCCUCCCAAGCAAGUAAAUAUCCAGGAGCUCACUAAUUCCAUCAAUUCUUGCUACACUUCUCGAUCCUCAAAAGAGUCUGAACCAAUGUUUAUCAUUUGUCUAGAAGUUUGAUCCUCAAAAGAGUCUGGACCAAUAUUUAUCAUUUGUCUAGACAACUUAUAUAACAGACAAACUGUUCUCCUCCUAGAUAUCUAGGAUUUCUAAUUUUUUCUUUUCUUUUCCUCGGGGAGGGAUUCACCCAUCGGCCAUGCCCACCAAUUAUUAGAAGCAUCAUUAGGAAAAAAAUAAAUGCGCCCUACUAUGCGACAAAGUUACAUUCCAUAUUCUUCCUUAAAAUAUAUUUUGUUUUAUCUUUCACAAUAUAAUUAUUAUUAAUCCAUUGUUUGUUUUUUUUUUGUAACUAAACACAUAACCGGUACGAUGUCGUUCUCAUAAACUACAAUGUCCAUCAUAUCAUAAUGUCUUGUUAUGUUUUUCUGUUUUUUUAUUUUUAUUUUCGUUUGUAAAUUGAGGUAGUGUAUUGAACAUCAUUUAGUUAUGGUGAUAUAGUUUAAUAGUGUGAUUGGUCAAGGUCCUGAUAUCAUUGUAUAGUUAGUUCGUACUAUUCAAAUGCUAACGAUAGAGACCUGUAACGAGUAGUGCUCGUUAUUUUUUUUUAUAUAUUUUGUUAUUGAUGAAAAAUGCAAGUCCAAUCAAGUGAGCUGGAUCUCAAAUUUCCAUCAGAGCAUCACUUGCACUUGCUCAAAGCUUCAAGUCUAUGGAUUUCAUUGUUUGCACGUUGUUGUAGGAUGUCAAUCGGAAAGUCCGGAUUAAUUAAGGUUUUUAAAGAGAUGGUUCGGCGUUAACAUGUAUUCCCAAAUAUGAACCCAAGAUUCCGCGAACUUGGGUGGGGCCAACUACAAUGUCUUGUGAGUUUGUGAAAAGGAAAAAGAACAUUUUUGAUCAAAAUCAUCUUGUUUAUGUCAUGAAAUGGAUUUAACAUAAUGUAGUAAAUCAAUUAGUUAUUAAUCGUGCUAACAAGAUUGUCAUAAUUUUGUCCAACUUGCCCAAGCAAGGACAAACAAAUUUUCCCGUAUUUACUAUCACUUCAUUUUUAAUUGUCUAGAUAAUAAAAAAGCCAUAAAUUGUAGAUUCUUCACAAUUUUUACUAGAUUAAAUGUGCUAACAUGCUUGUAGCUCCAUCCGAACUCGAACAUAGAGUUUCACCCGAUUCCUCUCUUUAGUAAAAUUUCCACAUCUAAUAUUCAAUCGGCAUUAAACAGUAGGAACGAAGUAGUUAUAUGCACAAAUUUGAUAGUUGUAUUACGAUUUUAUGAUAAAAUAGGUAUAUUCUUCAAAACUAUAUGCCAAUAUGCAUAUCAUCAUCAUUAAACACUACAGCAAUUUACUUUUUUUAACUUUAUUAAAAUUAGUUGGCGGAGAAUACGCACCUUCCACGUGAUGCCGUGAAAAUAAUGAUGCAAUGAGUGAUGUUUUUGUGCUCAUGUAUAGUGGCACCGGCGGCAUGGGAGCAUUCCUAUGCUGGUUAGUUUUCUUUUCUAUUUCUCUUAUUAGUUGGAAAAAAAAGGCAAAGCAAGUGAAGAAGCACCAGUAUUGCAUGGUUCCACGCACUUUCUGCAUAACUGCUGUGGAAAUCACGCGUGCAUUGAUUGCCUUGUGGAAAUUAGAUCGUGGAGAAUUAAUCGUUGGUUUUCAUUUCUAUUUCUUUUAUUAGCAGAAAAAGCAAGUCAAGUCAAGAAGCAGAGGAUGGUCCCUGACACCAUCUGCAAAACGCAGUAGAAAUUACGCGGGCAAUGGUUGCCCUUUGGUUUUCUUUCCUAUUUAUCUUAUUGAUAGUAAAGGCAAGGUAGGUCAAGUAAAAUGUUGACAAUUAGUGGAGGUCACAGCGGCAGGUGAGCAGUCAUAAGCGUCAGGGGGGAAUUAUCCAUCGAGCACGCCCACUAAUUACUAGAAGCACCGUUAGAAAAAAAAGAUACACACUUUACGAUGUGAAGAAGGAAUUGCAUUUCAUUUUCUUUCCCAAAACUUUAAUUUGUUUUAUCAUUGCUAUUUAACCUUUGUUUCGUGCAUACACUUAUUUAUUUCUUAUAUAAGGAUACAUGUAAUUGGUAAAAAUGUCAUCCUCGAGAACUACAAUGUCCACUAUAUUACCAUGUCUCAUUUUUCUUUUUCCAUUUGUACUUUGAGGUGGUAAAUUAAAAAUGUUAACAAAAACAAAUUCUACUCAGGAGUCAAGUCAAGUGUGAUGAAUCUCAAAUUUCGAUCAAAACGUCACACAUUUGGUAGAAAUUUCAAAAUCUAUGGAUUUCAUUAUUUACAUGUUAUGGUAGUAUGUCAAUCGGAAGGUUUGAAUUAUUUAAGAUUUACACAAAAAUAAAUCUAACAUAAGGCGACAACUCAAUUAGUUCUUAAUUAUGCAAAUGUCGUGAUUGUCCAACUUGCCCAAGUAAUAACAAACAAACCUACCCAUAUAUACUAUCAAAUCGUUUUUUUUAAUUUUCUCGAUAAUCUAAUAAUCAUUGGGAUAUAGGGUCUCAUCCGGUUCUUGUAUUUCGUAUGAUGUCUACAUCGUUUCUUCAAUUGACCGUAAACAAUGAUGAAGCGACUCUACACACAUGAAUUUGGUGGUCGUCUUCUGCUUUUCUGAUAAAAUGGGUCCCCCCUUCAUAACUAUACGUCAAUAUGACAUGAUGCUUCCUAUAAAGAAAGAGGGAGGGAGAGAGAGAGAGAGAGCGCAUUAUCGCAAUCUGCACAAUCGGAAUUGAUUGUUGCUUUUCGGUUCUAUUUCUUUAUUCAUAAAAAAAAGUAAGUCAAGUCAAAAAGCACACGUACCUUCGCAUAAUGCUGGUGUGCAAUAAUUAUCCUGUCCGUAGCAUGCGAGACAGAGCAUUAUUGCAAUCUACACAAUCGGAAUUGAUUGUUGCUUUUCGAUGCUAUUUCUUUAUUCACAAAAAAAAAAAGCGAGUCGUACCUUCGCAUAAUGCUGGUGUGCAAUAAUUAUCCUGUCCGCAGCACGAGAGAGAGAGAGCAUUAUCGCAAUCUACGCGAUCGGAAUUGAUUGUUGCUUUCCGAUGCUAUUUCUUUAUUCACAAAAAAAAAAAAGAGAGUCGAGUCAAAAGGUACACGUACCUUUGCAUAAUGCUGGUGUGCAAUAAUUAUCCUGUCCGCAGCACGUGACUUGAGUUGUUGGAUGGCAAGUCAGCAUUAUGUGCUCUUUUGGACGAAUCUCCUUUGAAAUAAAAAGAAGAAGAGCAGAUUUUGGAUUGAAAAUAAUGAAUUGUCCUUAUUCGAAUAUCUAAACAAAGUGUCCUACUGACAUUUAUGUUAUAAUAUGUUUUUGUGAUUGACUCAUGUAUAUUAGUAUUGACAGCAUGGGAGUCUUGCUGGUUAGUUUUCUUUUCUUUUUCUUUUAUUAAUAAUAGUUAAAAAAGCAAGUCAAGUCAAAAAACACUUGCAUAGAAUGGCCCCACGCACCUCUAGGUUCCCGUACCUACCGCGUAAUGCCGGGGGUAUUAUCAAACAGCAUUUUCUUUCAUUUUAAGUACUUAAAAUAGUCUGAAAUUCAGUACUAAAAAAUUUCAGUAAUUAUUUACCAGUUUUAUCUAAACGGGCAUGUACUCGCAGCUUAUUUUUCACAAAUGAAUUAAGUUCAGCAUUGGCUGAAAAAAAAAAACAAGUUGAUGCAAGUUGAAAAUCGAGUUCUAUCGCAUAAGGUUCGACUUGAAAUUACCAAUGCAAUCAUUUACUUUAAGCCAUCAGAGUACAAUGCUUAAUAUAUUUUAGAUCUUAACAGCUUAUUUGGUUUGAUUUCUAGCUUUUUCUUGACAACAAAGCAUAGAUGAAGUAUGUUAAUCCGCAUAUCAACAAAUUCUCCACUAAUGCAAAAUAUCAGCAAGACACAAGUCUCCAAAUACGAAAGAAUUUAUGCUUACAAAUAUGAUGAAUCAACACAAAUUGCGUACUUAGGCUCCAUAUACUAAUUUUUACUUUCUAUUCUCUCGCACCUCUCGUAGUCGAACUUUUGCUUAACAAAAAUUAUUUAAAUGAUUCAAAAUAUGUAGAUACUCUCACGUAGAAAAUUAUACAAUUAUGUUUGUAAUUUAACUUGAAGAAUGUACAUAUUUAAAAUUUUUCAAAUGUAGAACAUCAAUUAUAUUUUUAAGUGCAGCCCAAAUUUUUAUCAAAGGGCCGCAUACCAAAAUUUUCUUUUAUUCUGAAAGAGGUAAUGCACCUGAUUAGUCAUUAGAGAAAAAGGCCAAAGCAUGGAGCCGCCUCAGUUAGCGCUGUCGUCGAGCGUUGCAUAUUCCCCAUCUCCUUUUUCAGAAGCCAAAAGAAAUCGCCCCGAACGUCAAACCCGCCCACUCGCCUCGGUCAGGGAGAGCACGUGAACUCGCUCGGACCGCGCGCCACGUGAGCUCGAGGGGGCAAUUCGGUACAUUCCGAGUGGCCGAAGAUAUUCCUGAGAUGCGAGGUGGGGACCACGCGUUGGCUUCGGUUUCUGAGCAGCUGACCGUCGUAGCGGUCGAGCAACGCGGAGAGGAGGAGCGGCGUGGGUCCGUGUGAAGAGACAACCUAAGCAGAAUCCACGAGGUAAAUUUCUACUCAUUUUUCGUGGAUACAAGUCUUCGUCUAGUUGCUUUAGGGUUUCCACCAUUACUUAAGGCCUCAGCUUGCAUAGCAGAGUUUAUUCUUACCGAUCUAGCAAAUUCAUCCAUCAAAUUUCCAUAAUUGUUUCGGCAAACACAACUUAUUGCUCCGAUCGUCAUUCCGGGCAAAAAAGUUCUAUUUAUAUUGAUUUUGAGGGUGUCUUCGCUUGGGCCAAACUAGAUCUGAGGUGAGGCUUCUUCGCCUUUUCCCAACUGUUGAAGCACUAAUUUUUCGCCAUGGUUGAGCUUAUAAGGUGCUUCGGAUUUGGCUUUAGUUUGCGGAAAACAAAGUAAUUUCUUUCUUUCCAAAUACGCCAGAGGAUAGAUGCAAGGAGGUCGAAACAUGCAGAGGAUGAUUGAAUUUAAGUAACCAUUCAUCUAUUCGACCAAGUCUAUAAGGUGAGAUCUUAAUUUGUAGUGCAGGAUCCAUCCAAAUUUGAUUCGUGCAAGGGCAAAGUAAGAAGAGGUGCUCUACCGUUUCUGGGUUCUGUUUACAUAAAUCGCAGGUACUUUCUUCCACUAUACCUCUCUUUUGUCGAUUUUCUUUUGUCGGCAAUGCGUUUUGACAUAGUCCCCAUAAGAAAAAUUUGAUUUUCGGGCUUGUCUUAGCCUUCCAGAUCUUUAUCCAAAGAGAUCUAGGGAUUUGGUGAGAGGUAGAGGCUGUGGUGUUAUUGUUCUAUUCUUCCUUCUCUUUGAUUCUAUUAUACCCACUUUUAAGAGUAUAGUCUUGUGCUUUUGUUUGUCCAGCAUAAUUUAUCCUCCUUUGCCUGGGAAUCAAUGGGAUUGUUAGAAUUUCAUUAGCUGUGUGCUCAUCGAACAAGGUCCCAAUAAAUUGUCCAUUCCAAGCUGGGAUAUCUCUGUGAAUAAGCUGGUUCAUCCCUGUUUGCGGGUCUUCCUAUAACUCCUUUGGGAAGCCAUUUUGUCUCUCUGAUAUUAAUCUUUUCCCCAUUCCCUGCUAUCCAUUUUACUGAAGGAAGAAUCUCGUCUUUGCUCAUUAGAAGAUUUUGCCAGAACCAUGAAAGUCGAUACCCCUUUGCAGUUGACCAAAAUUCAGAAUGAGGGAAUUAUAGACUUUUAGUAAUUGGCACCACAGUGAUGAAGGAUUUUGCAUCAUACGCCAUGCUUGUUUACCGAGCAUGGCUUUGUUGAAGGCAAUUAAAUUUCGAAAUCCCAAACCUCCAUUGUCUUUCCUAUGCUUAAGAAUGUGCCACUUCUUCUAGUGUAUUCCAGAUUUUUGUUCAGCAGUAUUCCAUAAAAGGGUCUCGAACGGUUGGACGGCAAUAACUCAGCAUCGUUCAAGCAAGCACGGGAGAGUGUUGAGCGUAGUUUAUCCAAGGUUGAAGGCUGAGAACCGGCAGAGAUCACAGUAGUAGGUGAAUUGUGUUGUUUGAGCACCCUUCAGGUAAUCGAUUGCUCCAUUUUCUUUUGAUGAGUUUCGAUUUGAGUUCUUGGAGACAUUUUUGCAUUCCGAGAUCUGGACUGUGAAAUCUAGACUUUUUUUCUUCAAGGCUCUGCUCGAUCGAUGUCCUAUUCGGUCAAUUAGACUUCAUUUCUGUUUGAAUUUAGCUACGAAAUGAGCUGUGACAGACAUUUCAGCAAUUCCCGAAUCUGGGAUUCCGUAUUUCUCUUUGCUUUCUGCUUUUCUUCGGGGCUGUGCUCCAUCAAUCUCUUCCAUUCCCUUUAUAGGUGAUUACAAAGGCGGAGCCUAAAAGAUUCGAUAUGUGGGGACAUUCAGAAGAUCCGAAUUGCGGGGCUUCUUCCUCAUCGACUUCUCCAACUGUAGGUGAUUAUGAAGGCAGAACCAAAAAGACGAAAAGAAACGACUACGAAGUGUUCUUGAGCUUUAGAGGGAAGGAUACUCGCAAUGGCUUCACCGAUUAUCUCUAUACUAGUCUUGUUGAUGCAGGAAUUCAUGUGUUCAGAGACGACAAUGAGCUUUGUGUUGGUGAGGUGAUUGGACCGGAACUUUUUCGCAGUAUUACACAAUCUAAGAUCUCCAUCCCGAUUAUCUCAGAGGACUAUGCAUCCAGCAAAUGGUGCCUUCGCGAGUUGGCUCUUAUGUUGAAUUGCAAGAGAAACAAAGGGCAAAUGGUGUUACCCAUAUUUUACAAAGUGGAACCUUGGCAAGUGAAGCAUCUCACAGGGAGAUUUGGAGAUGCUAUCGAUACACAUAAAAAGAAUUUGGAAGAAAAGAUUGUGAAGGAAUGGGAAGAAGCACUCAAAGAAGUCACUUCCUUGAAAGGAUUGGAAUCGGAGAAAAUUGAUAAUGGGUACAUUAUUCACCACCACAACAUUGUUUACUUUCUCAUAACUAGAUCUUACUUGAAAAAUAAUACAAAUAUUUCCAUUUUAUUGAAAUUUUUAUUGUUGUUCGACAGGCGUGAAGGAACAUUGGUUAAAAUAGUUGUCAGAAAAGUUAUGAGUAACUUAAAGGAAUUGUUUUUGCUAAAUGUUCCCAAACAGUUGGUGGGAAUUGAUGAUCAUGUGGAGCAUAUUAUGUGCUUCAUAAAUGCUAAAUUUAGUGAUACAAGUGUUAUUGGAAUCUAUGGAAUGGGCGGCAUCGGUAAGACAACCCUUGCGAAGGUGUUGUACAACAAGCUUUUGAGUCAUUAUGAGUCUCAUAGCUUUGUGGCAGAUAUCCGAGAAAAAAUAAAGCUCAAGGGUUUUGAAUGCAUACAAAAGCAGCUCAUUUAUGACAUAAGUGGAGGCUUACGUGAUGUGUCUAAUGUCGAUCACGGAAUCAAUAUCCUUAAAUCUCGAUGUAUAAAUAAGAAAGUACUCAUUCUUCUUGAUGACAUGGAUGAUAAUACUCCCUUGAAUGCUUUGGUCGAAGACGGUAGUUGGUUUAAAGCUGGAAGCAUGGUCAUCAUCACCACUAGAGAUAAGAGUAUUCUUGACAAGGUUGGGGUAAGAUACAAGUAUCAACUCAACGAGUUGCUUUCAGAUCAAUCAUUGGUUUUAUUUAGCAGACAUGCAUUUCGAACGGAUUCUCCUCCAAGUGAUUAUUGGGUUAUCUCUCGUGAUAUUGUAUCUACUACUGGGGGGCUUCCUUUAGCUCUUGAAGUUAUUGGUUCAUUCUUAUGUGGAAAGACAAAAGAAGUAUGGAAAGCUACAUCAAAAAAAUUAGAGAAAGUGCCUAAUAAGAAAGUGCAAGAGAAGUUGAGAAUAAGUUACGACGCAUUAGAGUAUGAGGAGCAACAGAUUUUUUUGGAUAUAGCAUGUAUUUUUAGUGGACUUUGUACAGAAGAUCUGACUUAUAUGUGGGAUGCGUGUGGUUUUUUUCCGGAGAAGGGGAUUGAAGUAUUGAGUCUUAUGUCCCUAAUUAAAAUUGAUGGAGAUGGCAUUCUAAUGAUGCAUGAUCAGCUGAGAGAUUUUGGAAGGGAAAUUGUUCGCCAAGAGAAUCAAAGGGAACCUCAAAACCGUAGCAGAUUAUGGAAUACUAAGGAAGCCGCAGAUGUGAUUUACAAUAACAAGGUAAGAUUUUAUCUACAUCUCUCAGUUAGUGAAUGUGAGCCCAUCUUCUCUUUUAUGUUUUGAGAUAAAAAAUUAUUGGCAAUCUGGAGCCCCUAAAACUUCUUCUACUAGCAAAAGAGCUCUUCCGGUUAAUUGCUUAUGUUGUUUUUGCCUGACUCUUUUGAACAUAAUUGAGGACCAAUUUCUUGGUUGUUGAUGAAUUAUAUAUACCUCUAUCUCGUAGUAUUGUGAUGAGGACCCUCUCCUUUGUAACUUCAAUGCAACUAAAAAAUUACAAAAGCAUAAUAUUUGACAGAGCAUUUUCAAAGAAAAGCUGAUUUUCUAUAAAUUGUUGGCGGCCAUGCUUUUCCCACGUACAUGUUUAAUGCACAUCCAUGAUGUUUGGAUUUUUUCUUUGAUUUCUUGUGAGGUCUUUGCAUCCUUUUUAUCUUUUACUGAGUAUUGAGUUUCUUAUGGGUUGUUUGCUAUGAUAAAUGAGACUUCCAUUCAUUUAUGGUGACUAGCUAUCUUAGUCCCGUAUUUUUUAGAAUUGGGUUAAGUAUAGUUUUCGUCUCCUAGAUAUUACUAUUUAUGUGAUUUAGUCCCCUAUCUAUUUUUUUUUAUUAUAAAUAUUAUAGUCUUUUGUCUUUCGCAAUUUAUGUAAUCAUGUUCUUUGUCUUCAACCAUUAGUCACCACCAUGAUAUGACUUUCAUAUUUAUUUAAGAUAUAUGCGCAACCUUGCAAUGUAACCCUCUAAACAAAUAUUAUUUUCGUUCCAUAGACUUUCUAUAACAGUGCAUAUAUUUUUUCUAUGAAUUUGCUACUAUUAUAUUUUAAUUUUCUGACAAUGUAUAAUAUUUCUAUUAAUCCCCUAAUAACAUUUAUUUGUCAAAUAUUCACUAUCAUCCCCUAAUAAUCACUUCUUCAUAGCUCAACUCUUGGUGAGCAUCUUAUUUAACAAAAAGAUUUACUUAAUUUUAUAUCAUCAUUUGUUAAAUAUGGGCUAGCAUGUGACUUAAUUCUUGUAUCGAUUUUUUAUUUACCAAAUAUUGACUGCCACAGUAUAAUAAAUAUUUCUACAUCGUUCAACUCUUAGCAAGCAGUUAAUUUAGCACAUAUUUAAUACAUUUCUAUCAUUUAAUUGUUAAAUGUGAGCUGUCAUGUUAUAAUUUUUUUUUGGACGUUAUUAUAAUUUACUUAUAAAAUAUGACAAAAUAUUUUCUUCUUUUUUGGUAAGGAUAUGACAAAAUAUUUUCUCAUAAUGAGUAUUGCUAAAACUUUUAAUCAUAACAGCCAUCACUUAUUAUACAUCUCGUUAUACUUAUUAUUGAAGUUUAUGUUGUCAUGUAAUAAAGUCCUCUUAACAUAUAUUAUUUUUUCUUCUAUGAUGGACAAUUUUAUUAAUUCAUCUACCUGUAAAGCAUGUUUAUUUUUUUAUUGGUGAUGAUGGUUACUUUUUUAGUCAUAAUGGGACACCUUUGCAAUCACAAUAGUUGUCACUAGUAACAUUUGAAAAUAGUUUUAGAUGGAAGUAAUAGAGCCAUAAGUUUCUGCUGCGCACUCUAGUCUCAGUAUCUCGAUUUUCUCUAUUAGUCUUAAACUUGACCAAUCUGCAAAAAUUAAAGGUGGUCAGCGACUUACACUCAUCCAUCAUAUACGAAUGAAAUGCUAUAUCGCUCUGAUCCAUUUCUCUCUAGCUCUUCCCAUUUCAUGUGUCUUGAUUGGUUUAAGGAAUGAGUUGGAUACAUGUCAAAUGAUUGAUGAAAUAAUUGGUAACUAAGCAAAAGCACCCCGCAAACAUACUCAUGCAACUCACCAUCUCACAUUCUUCUUUUGAUCAAUGCAUAUUUUUUCUUUUUUCUCUUUUUUAAAAGCUCAUCCACAAAGGUAGUCUAUUCAUAUUGAGUUAAUUACGUAUUCACAUUCUACUUAAUCCUCCAAAAUACGAGAAAUUACAUUACAGUAGACUUCUACUGCUAUUACGAUCUUCGACACUUGAUAAAUAGAGAAUCUAAAUAAUAUUUUCUUGCAUUUAUAAAGAGGACACUAUACAAAGAAGUUAUCACCAAAAAAGAAAAACAGAAGAAGAAGAAGAAGCAAGAGAUGUUGCAUAAAGAAGUAUGUGUUAUUAAGAAAUAAAAAUAAGGAAGUGGAAAGACAAAUGGAAGUAACGAAGGAAUGUUAAUAAAUAGUUAAAUUAUUUGUCGAAAGGGACGAUCUGGAAGUUCUUUCAAUUUUAGGAAUAAAUGUGAGAAGGUCAUUCCUGGCGGAUGCGAAAUGGAAAACAUUCUAUAUUUUACCAAUAAAGAUUACACAUGAGUCGCAUGUGAAUAGAGGCAUUUCUCCUUUGUUUUAGGUUGCUAGAGGAUUGUUGAGUUAUGACUAAUGACAUAGCUCCAAGGAUUUCUGAUAUGAAUUUCAUCUUUAGCAAAAAAAGGAAAUUGUGUAGCAGAAUUUUAGUGUACGCGUGAAGUUGAGUUUCAAUAUGGUUGGAGAUACUUGUUCAAAAAAUUCUAAACCUAAUAUAACGGCUAAUUCAUUUUCAAACUUUUAAAUACGAUUAAGGCCACUAUUUUUUUCCUCAAUGCAAUCCUUUAUCUUUCACAAUUUGGGCAAUCGAGCCCUUUGUUGUCAAGUGUUAGUUAACACCGUCAAUUUGCCAUGUGGCUUUUAAAAUUAUUUAUGAUGUGUAAAUAUUAUUUUCGUCCUAUAGGCUUUUCGUGGUGGUAGUUUGUCACAUUAUUUUCGUCCUGUAGACUUUUCGUGGUAGUAAUUCGCUUGUGACAAUGGAUAAUUUUUCUAUUAAUCCCAUUUCUUUGGCAAAUAUAUGCUGGCAUGAUUUAGUUGAUGAUUAUAUCAUUAUUUGUUAAAUAUGUACUAUCGUGGUGAAUAAGUUUUUUAUCCAUUUUUGGGAAAAUUAUCUAGAGAGUCUUAAACUUAUUGUAUUUUUACCAAUUCAGUUAUAAACUUUUCAAUUUUGUCAAUUCAGUUCUAAACCUUUUCACUUCUUGCUAAUUAAGCCUGUCUAGUUAAUUUUGGCUGAAAAUUGCUAACGUGGCCGGUUGGUGCUAAUAUUUUUUUUUUGUUACUUUUUUUUCUUGGUUUGUAGUUAGGGCCGGUAAGGGUUACUGGCCAACCCUUGCCGGCUUGAUUGAUCCUCGUUGGCCCUGGGGGAGGGCUGUGACGCCCUCAUCGACAAAAGCGAGGGCUCAAGCCCUCACUGGAUUUGGCCAAGCAAGGGUGGUGACCUUGCUCGGGUGCUUGGGGCCCUCGCCUGGCCAAAUCUAGCAAGGGCAUCGCGGCCCUCGCCCACGGCUGACGAGGGUCGGCCGGUAACUGUCACUGGCCCUAACACCAAACCCAAAAUUAAAGAAGAGAAAAGUUAAAAAAAUUCAAAAUUCAAAAUUAAAAAAAAUGGCACAUCAGCAAUUUUCAGCCAAAAUUGGUCAGAUGAACUCAAUUGGGAAGAAAUUAAAAUAUUUAGGAUCAAAUUAAUAAAAUUAAAAGGUUUAUGAAAAAAUAUAAUAGAUUUAAGACUUUUUGAACAAUUUUCCCCCCAUUUUUUAUUUGUCAUAAAUUGAUACCACGUUACAAUGCAUAUUUCAACAUCCUUCAACUCUUAGUAAGCUUUUUAUUUAGCACAUAUUCCGUACAUUUAUAAUAUUAACUUAUUUAAUAUGAGCUAUCAUGUUAUAUUUUAUUUUAUUGAUUUGUUAAUAUGAUUCACUUAUGAAAUAAACGGAAUGUUUCUCAUGUUAAGUAUCUAUAGAACUUUUUAAUCUUGAUAACCAUCACUUGUAUGUAUGUAGUCAUAUAACAGAACACUCUAACAAUAUAUUCUUUUUCCUUCUUUCAUGGACAAUUUUAUUAUAUUCACCUAUUGUAAAGCAUGUUAACUUUAUGUUAUGAUAGAUAUUUCUAGUCACAAUGGCUAUCCACACACCCUUUCAAUCAUAAUAGUUGUAAUUUAUUAUACAUUUCGCUAUACUUGUUAUAGAAUUAUAGUCAGUCAUAUAAUAGAUGCAUGUUUAUGUUUAUGUUUAUGUUCUGAUAGAUAUUUCUAGUCACAAUGGCUAUCCACACACCCUUUCAAUCAUAAUAGUUGUAAUUUAUUAUACAUUUCGCUAUACUUGUUAUAGAAUUAUAGUCAAUCAUAUAAUAGACGCCUCUAGACAUAUACUUGUUUUCUUCUUUGAUGUUUUAUUUUAUUUAUACUAUUUAUAAAGCAUGACAUAUAUAAAUUGUGAUUACGGAUAAUUACAAUUUAAUAUAUGAAUUUUAAACAUUUAAUAAUUAAUUUGUGGUCGAGAUUUAAGCUUAAUCAUAUGGUAUGUGAUCAUACGAACAUAACUAUUUUUUAUUAAAUAAUUAAUAGUACGAUUGACAUAAUAAUUAUAGCACAAUUAAGCAUUAACUAAUAUAAUUAGUAAUUAAGAUGAUCAUUUUAUUAUGAACAUAUAAUAUUAACUUAUGAAAAAUUUAGAUAACCAUAUCUAAUAAGGAGCCACUAACAUUGUGCUAAUUAGUAUAUUAUAAAUAUUUUUUAACCUAAUAACUGAUAAUGAAUAAUCAAGAUAACAUUAUCACUAUUUCAUCAACUAUUUGCCUAUUAAUUAACAUUCUAUUUAUUAAUGAUAUGAUAUGUGAUUAAAGUCAAGAUAAGUAUAAUUGAUGUUAUCAUUACAUAAUUACCACAAAUGAUUUUAGUUAUAAUUAAUAUGUACGUUGAUUAUAGUCAAUAAUAUAAUAUUGAUAGGGUUAGAGAAAAAAAAAAAAGACGUGUAUUUUGGAAAUAGCUACUGUGGCCCUGUAGUAAUAGCUAUUACACAACGGGGUGAUAGUUAUUACAAUUUGGCAACGAUAACUUUCAUUGCUAGUAGAUAUUGUAUACUAUAACAGUCAUUACUGCAACCAUGUGUUGUAAUAAUCUAAACGUACUCUGAUAAUCCAUUGCUAUAAAAUAUAUAUGUAAAUAAAGCGUAUAAAUGUGUAAAACUAAAAGGCACUGGUUAUUUGGUAAUCACAUACUUACAUUCUAAUUAAUCCUAAAAAAUUACGUGACACUAGAUUAUUGUAGAAAAUGCAAAGUCUUAAAUCUUGUGCAUAGCACAAGAAUUCUACUACUAUUAGGAUUUGCAACACUAGAAAAAUAGGGAAUCUAAGACGUAAUAUAAAGAAGUUGUCACCCAGAAAAAAAAAAGCUGCAUAAAGAAGUAUGUGUUAUUAAUAAUAAUAAAAAAGAAGUGGAAAUACAAAUGUAAUUAACUAAAGAAUAUUAGCAUAUAGUUGCAUAAUGUGUCGACGGGGACAUGAUGUGGAAGGUCAUUCAAUUUUAAGUAAAUGGGUGUUGCAUGUGAGAAGAGGCAUUUCUCCAUUUUUCUAGUUAGCCAGAAAAUUUUUUGAGUUAUGAGUAAUGGCAUAGCUCCAAGGACAUAUCUAUUGUGUAUAUAUAUAUAUAUAUAUUUUUUUUUUUUGGCACCCAGAGAAUCUUCGUGCGCCGCUUCGCGGCGGAGUAAACCCUGAAGGAGCAGUAGAGUCAUCAUUACCCUUGCUGCUUCGGGUAAGUCGUGGGUUCCUUUCUCGCAAGGCAAACAAUGCAGCUAAUCGAACUCAUGAUCUCUCUCGAAAGGAACCUGCGCUCAACCAUUACGCCGUCAUCAUGGGUGGUCAUAUCUAUUGUAUUUUGAUCUUUAAAAAAGAAAGAAUUUAUGUGCAAGACAAUUUAUUGUAUAAGUGAAGUUGAGUCUGUUUAAAAUUUCAUGUGGUCAUGCAAUGUAUUUAAAUGUAGAAAGAAGAUGAAUAGCAAAUCACAUAACAUACUAUUUCAAAAUAAAUACCUUCUAAAUUACUAUUAAAAAUACGAAGAAACUGGUCUAUUCAAACUUACCCUAAAAAAAAUGGUGUAUGUUAAUGUAAACAUAAAAGAAGUAAAUAAUAUUUAUUGAUACCACUAAGUGCAAAGAAAGAAAAGAACUAAACAUAAUACAUGAACGCUAGAUAAAGUCAUAUACAAAAUAUGCCACUAAAAAUGCGAAGAGUAUCUGGUCUAAGUAUGUAACUUCCAAGGAAAGCAUCUAUUCAUCAAAAUAUGAAUAUUGUACUAUUUGUUAAAUGUCAUUUUUAGAAGAGAAAUGUCUUUUCAUGCAAUAGUGAAGUCAACGACAUUAAUUGAUGGGUACUUCUAUUUUAUAUUCGAGAAAUUAGAGAAAUGCUAGUAGAAUAACAAACGAACCAUAUAAAUAAUCACCGGAGCCUAACUAAUCAUUAAAAAAUUCGAAAAGUGAUGCAUCUUUAAAUGUAAUACUUUGAAUGGGCACGUUCAUUAAUGAGGGUAUGGAUGGGAGCUCUACUUAUGUAUGUUAUUUAAAAUAAACAUACUAUUUUCAUGAAGUAAAUAAUAUUAGCAAUAUAUUAUUUGGAGAUCCUAUUUUUAUCAUUCAACAAAUUGUGUAUGGUCAAUCAUAAAGACCAUAAAAUAUUAAACUUGGAAGUUAGGUAUUUUAACGAUACAUACAUGACCUUAUUUUUAUAUAGAGAAUUGUCAAAUAUUACAUUUGUAUGAUAACAUAGCUUUACACUUAAUGAUAAUUAGUAAUAAAACUAAGCAACUUCAAAACCAUAUGCUUGCACAUAAGUAAUAUUAACAUAAUAUGAUUAAUCUUCAUGUCCAAUAUGUCUGUUAGCAAGGUCUUGUUAAUCUAUGGGCAAAUUGGUAAAAAAUUAGAUGAUUGCUAUUGCUUUGUAACAAAAUCAACACGAAAUGAACAGAUAGCAUUAAACAUCUAAAGUAAUAAAAAGAGAAAUAAAAAUCAUUUAUAUAACAUUUGAUAUAUGUUUUCUUCCACACGUAAUGAAAAACACUCGUUGAAAAAACAAAUGAUAAGAAAGGAAUGUAAAAUACGUGUACUUCUUGGGAUGGAAUUCUUAUUUUCAUUUUGCUAUUGAGAAUUGCAAACAAGAUACAUAAGAAAAAGAGGGGGAUUCUACAAUUGGGAUUCUUGAGUAUUGAUACAUGUUUUGAUGGCAAGUUUGAUGGAUGUAUUUGAAUUGUAAGAACCAUGUUAUUUCGCAUAUAAAGAAUAUGAAUUAGGGUUUUGUUGUUUCCCAAAUAAAGGGCAUGAGAUUUGAUAGAUAUAUUUGAAGCAGAGUGUGCAUGAAGAGAGACCUUCUAUUGUAAUUUUGAAAGGAUGCAACUUUUGGAAAUUUAAAACGUGCAAAUUGUGAAGGGCAUAAUUGGUAGAGGAAAAUUGGGGGACCCCCUCUUGAGCUUCACAUUUUUAUAUAGAUUAGAUAAGGAAUAUGUAACCACAAUCUAUCAUGUCAUGAAGUCGAAGGUGAGAACCCCACAUCAUUAUAGUACGACAACAUAGUUGAAAUAAUACAUCUUUUCUUGUAUAUAGUUAGUCUCAUCCCAUCAUCCAAUAAUAUGAUCCACAAUGUUUUUCAAUUCUAGGGCACAAGUAAAAUUGAGGCCCUUUGUCUCGACAAAGAUGAUGGGAGAGAAAGCUACACGGUUGAAAACUUUAAACAAUUGACCAGCUUGAGGUUCCUUAAAUUGAGCGGAGUGAACAUCACUGGAGAUUUUCACAACUUUCUUCCUCAAUUAAGAUGGCUUGAAUGGGAUAAUUGUUGCUUGGAUUUUGAAGAGGCUAACUUUCACCCAAAGAAAUUAAUCGUGCUUGACUUGGGGGAUAGUCAGAUUUCGGAGGACUGGGGAGGAUGGGGCCCAAUAAAGGUAAGAUGUAGAGAAGGCAUAUCUUUUAAAAAUAACCAUGUGUUAUCAACGGCCCCAAUUGUACCAAGUUCUCCUUUAUUUCUUCUGAAAAUCCUUUCUCAUAUAAUGAAUUUUCCUCUAAGCAUAAGAGGAAUUUAUAGGCACUUAAAUAUGUUAGAAGCUUUUGCCUCUUAAUAUUUCAACAACUAGUCACGCUUAACAUCAGACUUACUAAUAAAAACUCUUUUAAUUGUAUUAAUUAACAUCUAUCAAAAAUAUAAUUAUAAUAUUGUGCCAAUCUUAACUUUACUUUAAAUUGUGUAUGGUUUCUAGUUAAUUUCUCCCCAUGCAAAAUUAUGUCUUUUUAGCAAUUCUUGUUAUAUGUAUAUAUGGCUCUUCUUUCAUGGAGAGACAAAAACCCUCACAAUGACUUGUGUUUAACAUACAAACUAAAAUUCUAAAUUCAUAGUUACUUUUAGAAUAAUGGAAAUAAUUUGUGAACUAUUUUGACUUGUUGCACACAAUAUUUAUUCAUUAUUAUUGUUGAUUGUUGAAGUCAUCGUACAACACAUUUAUAAAGUAGUAAUGUCAUAUGAGUAAUAAAAUUAUCCUUGAAAUGGCAUUUAAAUAAUUUUAAUGCAACACCUUUUUUAUAUCUUAUACAUAUAGCAUUCAAAAAUUGCUUUUUAUAAUUAAAGUAGCCAUUUCUCUUUGACUUCAUAAUAUUGAAGGAAAACAUAGCACCGAGUGAAUGCAUCUCUUUUCUUCCAUUUGACUUUGUCAUUUGUAAUUUGAUAAUAAAAUUUGCAUAUGUCUAAUUAAUAAAUAACAUCAUUGUCAUAACUAUAAAAAAAUAAAUAUGAUAGUUGCUAUGAAAUUUUAUUUGCAAAUAAUUGUAGUUAGUACUUUNNNNNNNNNNNNNNNNNNNNNNNNNNNNNNNNNNNNNNNNNNNNNNNNNNNNNNNNNNNNNNNNNNNNNNNNNNNNNNNNNNNNNNNNNNNNNNNNNNNNUGAUAUGCUUAAAAACAUUUAUAUACUAGCUUAGUGAAUGCACUACUGAAAAGAAACAUUUAAAAUUAAAUAAGAUAGCUGUAAAGGAGUAGGGAGCACAAGUAUUUUUUUUGGAUCCAAUCUCAAAAUGGUGACUUCUCUUUUCUUUCAGAUGGCAAUGGAGCUCAAAGUUCUUUUCCUUUCGAAAUGUGCUUUGAGAACAACUCCCGACUUAUCUGCUUUCAAUAGCUUGAAGACUUUGUGUCUUUAUGAUUGUCAGGAUCUAGAGGAGAUUCAUCCUUCUAUCGAGGACAUUAAGACCCUCGUCACCUUGACUAUUGAAAAGUGUCAUAAAUUGAAGGGGCUAACGCUAGGAGUAGGUAGAAUGAAAGAAUUGAAGGAGCUAAUCAUAGGUGACACUCAUAUACGAGAAAUUCCUAUUUCAAGAGGUUGUUUGAUAAAGCUGAAGACUUUAGAUGCCUCAUAUUGUAGACAACUUGCUCGACUUCCAGAAUCCUUGGGCUCUUUUAUAUCAUUAACUCAGCUAAAUCUAUCAAACACAGGAAUUAAAGAAUUACCCGAAUCCAUUGGAUCUUUGAAGAAGCUCAAGACUUUAAAUGCAUCUUAUUGUGCAUCGUUAGUCUGUAUACCCAACUCAAUAGGUGAUUUAACAUCUCUAUCUCACCUUAACCUAAUAAAAUGCCAAAAAAUUGCUCAACUUCCAGACUCUAUAGGCUUCCUCGUGUAUCUAUUGUGCUUGUUAUUGUCAGGAUGCCACUCGUUAAGACAAAUCCCAGACUCGAUCGGAAAGUUGACAUCAUUGAUAGAGCUGGAUUUGGAAUCUACCGCCAUUGAAGAAUUACCUGAAUCCAUUGGUUCUUUGAAGGAGCUCAUGACUCUAGAUGCCUCUUAUUGCAAAUCGUUAGCCCACAUACCCAACUCAAUAGGCAAUUUAACAUCUCUGUCUAACCUUGACCUGAAUGAAUGCCAAAAACUUGCUCAACUUCCAGAAUCCAUAGGCUCCCUUGUGUAUCUACAGUGGUUGUUAUUGUCAGGAUGCCACUCGUUAAGACAAAUCCCAGACUCGAUCGGAAAGUUGACAUUAUUGAUAGAGCUGGAUUUGAAAUCUACGGCCAUUGAAGAAUUACCUGGAUCCAUUGGUUCUUUGAAGGAGUCAGACUCUAGAUGCUCUAUUGCAAAUCGUUAGCCCACAUACCCAACUCAAUAGGCAAUUUAACAUCUCUGUCUCACAUUUACCUGAAUGAAUGCCCAAAAACUUGCUCAACUUCCAGAAUCCAUAGGNNNNNNNNNNNNNNNNNNNNNNNNNNNNNNNNNNNNNNNNNNNNNNNNNNNNNNNNNNNNNNNNNNNNNNNNNNNNNNNNNNNNNNNNNNNNNNNNNNNNCACUCAUUGAGACAAAUCCCGGAUUCGAUCGGAAAGUUGACAUCAUUGAUAGAGCUGCAUUUGAAAUCUACGGCCAUUGAAGAAUUACCUGAAUCCUCUGGUUCUUUGAAGGAGCUCCAAGACUCUAGAUGCCUCUUAUGCAAAUCCUUAGCCCACAUACCCCAAACUCAAUAGGCAAUUUAACAUAUCUGUCUCACAUUUACCUGAAAUGAAUGCCAAAAACUUGCUCAACUUCCAGAAUCCAUAGGCUCCCCUUUUGUAUCUACAAUUCUUGGUAUUAUCCGAAUGCCACUCAUUGAGACAAAUCCCGGAUUCGAUCGGAAAGUUGACAUCAUUGAUAGAGCUGCAUUUGAAAUCUACGGCCAUUGAAGAAUUACCUGAAUCCAUUGGUUCUUUGAAGGAGCUCAAGACUCUAGAUGCCUCUUAUUGCAAAUCGUUAGUCCGCAUACCCAACUCAAUAGGCAAUUCAACAUCUCUGUCUCUCCUUGACCUAACGGAAUGCCAAAAACUUGCUCAACUUCCAGACUCUAUAAGCUUCCUCGUGUAUCUACUGUGGUUGUUAUUGUCAGGAUGCCACUCGUUGAGACAGAUCCCAGACUCGAUCGGAAAUUUGACAUCAUUGACAGAGCUGCAUUUGAAAUCUAUGGCCAUUGAAGAAUUACAUGAAUCCAUUAGUUCUUUGAAGGAGCUCAAGACUCUAGAUGCCUCUUAUUGCAAAUCGUUAGCCCACAUACCCAACUCAAUAGGCAAUUUAACAUCUCUGUCUCACAUUUACCUGAAUGAAUGCCAAAAACUUGCUCAACUUCCAGAAUCCAUAGGCUCCCUUGUGUAUCUACAGUGGUUGUCAUUAUCCGAAUGCCACUCAUUGAGACAAAUCCCGGAUUCGAUCGGAAAGUUGACAUCAUUGAUAGAGCUGCAUUUGAAAUCUACGGCUAUUGAAGAAUUGCCUGAAUCCAUUGGUUCUUUGAAGGAGCUCAAGACUCUAGAUGCCUCUUAUUGCAAAUCGUUAGCCCACAUACCCAAUUCAAUAGGCAAUUUAACAUCUCUGUCUUACCUUGACCUGAAUGAAUGCCAUAAACUUGUUCAACUUCCAGACUCUAUAGGCUCCCUCGUGUCCUUGCUGUGGUUGUUAUUAUCGGGAUGCCAUUCGUUGAAACAAAUUCCAGACUCGAUCGGAAAGUUGACAUCAUUGACGGAGCUGAAUUUGAAAUCUACGGCCAUUGAAGAAUUACCUGAAUCCAUUGGUUCUUUGAAGGAGCUCAAGACUCUAGAUGCCUCUUAUUGCAAAUCGUUAGCCCAUAUACCCAACUCAAUAGGCAAUUUAACAUCUCUGUCUCACCUUGACCUGAAUGAAUGCCAAAAACUUGCUCAACUUCCAGAAUCCAUAGGCUCCCUUGUGUAUCUACAGUGGUUGUUAUUGUCAGGAUGCCACUCGUUAAGACAAAUCCCAGACUCGAUCGGAAAGUUGACAUCAUGAUAAAGCUGGAUUUGAAAUCUACGGCCAUUGAAGAAUUACCUGAAUCCAUUGGUUCUUUGAAGGAGCUCAAGACUCUAGAUGCCUCUUAUUGCAAAUCGUUAGCCCACAUACCCAACUCAAUAGGCAAUUUAACAUCUCUGUCUCACCUUGACCUGAAUGAAUGCCAAAAACUUGCUCAACUUCCAGAAUCCAUAGGCUCCCUUGUGUAUCUACAGUGGUUGUUAUUGUCAGGAUGCCACUCGUUAAGACAAAUCCCAGACUCGAUCGGAAAGUUGACAUCAUUGAUAGAGCUGGAUUUGAAAUCUACGGCCAUUGAAGAAUUACCUGAAUCCAUUGGUUCUUUGAAGGAACUCAAGACUCUAGAUGCCUCUUAUUGCAAAUCGUUAGCCCACAUACCCAAUUCAAUAGGCAAUUUAACAUCUCUGUCUUACCUUGACCUGAAUGAAUGCCAUAAACUUGCUCAACUUCCAGACUCUAUAGGCUUCCUCGUGUAUCUACCGCGGUUGUUAUUGUCAGGAUGCCACUCGUUGAGACAAAUCCCAGACUCGAUCGGAAAGUUGACAUCAUUGACAGAGCUGCAUUUGAAAUCUACGACCAUUGAAAAAUUACCUGAAUCUAUUGGUUCUUUGAAGGAGCUCAAGACUCUAGAUGCCUCUUAUUGCAAAUCGUUAGCCCAUAUACCCAACUCAAUAGGCAAUUUAACAUCUUUGUCUUCCCUUGACCUGAAUGAAUGCCAAAAACUUGUUCAACUUCCAGACUCUNNNNNNNNNNNNNNNNNNNNNNNNNNNNNNNNNNNNNNNNNNNNNNNNNNNNNNNNNNNNNNNNNNNNNNNNNNNNNNNNNNNNNNNNNNNNNNNNNNNNNNNNNNNNNNNNNNNNNNNNNNNNNNNNNNNNNNNNNNNNNNNNNNNNNNNNNNNNNNNNNNNNNNNNNNNNNNNNNNNCUUAUUGCAAUCGUUAGCCCACAUACCCACACUCACACAGACAUUUAAACUCUCUGUCUCACCUUGAACAGAAUGAAUGCCAAAAACUUGCUCAACUUCCAGAAUCCAUAGGCUCCCUUGUGUAUCUACAAUGGUUGUCAUUAUCCAAAUGCCACUCAUUGAGACAAAUUCCGAAUUUGAUUGGAAAGUUGAUAUCAUUGACAGAGCUACAUUUGAAAUUUAUGGCCAUUGAAGAAUUACCUGAAUCCAUUGGUUCUUUGAAUGAGCUCAAGACUUUAGAUGCCUCUUAUUGCAAAUCGUUAGCCCGCAUACCUAACUCAAUAGGCAAUUCAACAUCUCUGUCUUGCCUUGACCUAACGGAAUGCCAUAAACUUGCUCAACUUCCAGACUCUAUAGGCUUCCUCGUGUAUCUACCACGGUUGUUAUUGUCGGGAUGCCACUCAUUGAGACAAAUCCCAGACUUGAUCGGAAAGUUGACAUCAUUGAUAGAGCUGCAUUUGAAAUCUACGGCCAUUGAAGAAUUACCUGAAUCCAUCGGUUCUUUGAAGGAGCUCAAGAUUCUAGAUGCCUCUUAUUGCAAAUCGUUAGCCCACAUACCCAACUCAAUAGGCAAUUUAACAUCUCUGUCUCACCUUGACCUAAAUGAAUGCCAAAAACUUGCUCAACUUCCAGACUCCAUAGGCUCCCUUGUGUGCUUGCCGCGGUUGUUAUUGUCGGGAUGCCACUUGUUGAAACAAAUUCCAGACUCGAUCGGAAAGUUGACAUCAUUGACUGAGCUACAUUUGAAAUGUACGGCCAUUGAAGAAUUACCUGAAUCUAUUGGUUCUUUGAAGGAGCUCAAGACUCUAGAUGCCUCUUAUUGCAAAUCGUUAGCCCAUAUACCCAACUCAAUAGGCAAUUUAACAUCUUUGUCUUCCCUUGACCUGAAUGAAUGCCAAAAACUUGCUCAACUUCCAGACUCCAUAGGCUCCCUCGUGUCCUUGUUGCGGUUGUUAUUAUCGGGAUGCCAUUCGUUGAAACAAAUUCCAGACUCGAUCGGAAAGUUGACAUUAUUGAUUGAGUUACAUUUGAAAUCUACGCCAUUGAAGAAUUAC
rnacentral:lncRNA from 1 species